UUUGGAGAGAUGUGUGAGCUCAGGAAGUUCUGACAGCCUUAAUUCAGUGGCUGUUACUGCAUGUGAUUCAUUGGAAUUGAGUCCUUGAGGUCCAAUUAUUUCUUCUAAUGAAUCACAGUUCACUAUCUUCAGUGAAUAUAGUUUCUGAAGUCUUUCCAUCAUGUUAAAUGGAAAAAUAUUUGAAAGUCUUUCCCAGUCAUUCACUGUAAUGUCACCCAGAUUACAAAAUGAAUUCAUAGCGACCUUAUCAUCCCAUAUUUUCCUCAAUUGCCCCAGGCCUUCGAUACGCAAAAAAUAUAAACGAGGGAAUGCCACCUGUAGAAUUUAUUUUCUUUGUUAAUGAGGGAAAAUAAAUUGCAGUCCUACAAGAUAAGAUACAAGAAAGGGUUGGGAAAGUAACAAUUUUAAUAUUAGAAUAAAUAUAAACAACUAAUAGAGGGAAAAAAUGCAAAAAAAAAUAAUAAUAAAAGCGUAAUGGAAAAUUUUACCUUGUAUUUAUUUUAUUUUUCUUUCCUCACUUUUUCCCCUUUCCCCUAUUUUGAUUAGGAAGCAAAAUAAGGCAUUUAUAUACGCGGAGACUACAAUUAAGUUUUUCAAAUCUUUUUUGUAUUAUUAAGUUUGCCUUUUUUUUUUGGACUGGGAGCAUAUGAAUAUCUAAUUUAUCUAUUUUUUUAAUUAUUUUAUUUUGCAAAUCCUCAUUUUUCUUUUCUACAAAAGAAGACAUUUUCUUUUGUUAUGUCACAAAGAUAUUUACAUAUACUAAACUUUUUGCUUUUCUUAUGAUUUGAACUUUUGAAUUAUUAGUUCUCAACACAUGUGUCGCAUGCAUAAGUACAUAUAUUUAAAACAAUUGACUUUAAGAAUAAUCUUAAUGAUAAUGAUAAAUAGAGAAAUUUACUUUAAUUAUAAUGUAAAUUUGCUUAAAUGACAAUGUAAUUUGUCCUUUAUAUUGGAAACAGUUUAUUUUGAAUUUUCUUUUGGAUAUUAAAUAUUUUCAUAUAUAAAUAUGUCUAAGUUUUAAUAUUAGACAAAAAAUAUUUUGACCAAUUUGUUAAUUUAAAUGUUCAUAACCAUAAUUUCAUAUAGCUAUUUUGUACAUUGUCAAGUAUAUUUGAGUGGGCUAAAAGCCUAAAGAUCAUUAGGAUUAAACAAAAGAGAACACUAGAAAAGGAAAAACCAUUUAUUUGAGUGGUCUUAAAAAAUAAUUUUAAAAAAAUAACCACCAUGAAAAUUAAUUUCUUAAAAUAAAAUUCUUUUCAAAUUUAAAAAAAAAAACCAAAAAUAAAAAUAUACUAACCGUGUUAUCGAAAAAGGCAGUAUCAACAAUUCCCUUGGAAACCCAUGUUGUAUUUCCUCCAUCAAUAUCAUCAAUCGUUUCUAUUCUUUGCUCUCUUGAAAAUGCAGAUGCAAAUGCAAACAUUUGGGGACAACCAACCACUUCAAGUUCUUCCAAAGAUGGAAAUUCGAGUAUUUUGUUUCCUUGAUAGAAACUUGCCACUUGUUCAUCUGGUCCUUCCUCUUUGAUGAUAUGUUCCAUCACAAUGCAAUUUUUUACACUCAGCACACGGAGACGUGGUAGGCUCAAAGCCGUGGGAUGUGUAAAAACCCACCUCAAGCUGCUACAAUCAUGAACUUCUAAAAAUUCAAGAUAUUUGAAAGGUAAAAUUUCUUGAGGAUUUCCGCUCCAUAUUUUCAUCAACUCAGAAGUAUCAGAGAGUCUCAAAUUGCUGUAUCCAACCUAUGAAAUCCGAUGAAUUGCACUAGUUAGUACAAGAAUAAUUGAAAUAAUAAAAAUCUAAUUUUUUUUAUUUUAACAAAGAAAACUGAUAUAAUCAAAAAAUUCAAACUAAAUUAUAAACAAUUUCAAUUAUCCAUAAACAUGUAAUUAAUUUACAUUUAAAAUAGCACCAAAAAUGACAACAGAAGAUAGGCUAGUUGCUCGAGUAUAACAAGAAUUUGGCUCCGCUAUUAUGGGGUCAACUAUUCUCUUUUAAAUUUUUUUCUCUAAUUUUUCAUAAAUCUAAUGAUCAUUUAUAAUAUAAAAUAUUUUUUACCAGCACUCAAAAUAGGAUGACUAAAAAAGAAAUAUUUGAUAUUUUGCGAUAAAGUUUUUAUGGUUGAUUUUUUGUGUCAUGCAGUGAACAUUGUAAUUUUUUAUUUUUAAAGUAUAAAAAUCAGAUGACUUUAAUUUAUUGCAAAUUAUAAACCUUUUAUAACAUCAUUUGGAGCAAAAGAAAGAAAAAUAAUGGUAAUCUUUUUGUUCAAUAUAUAGAUUGAAUUUGGAUAUAAAUGUAAUAAAAUCUUAAUUUAUUUUUGAUCCUAUCCAUUAUAACAUUUUAACAUUGUAGUAUUUAUGAUGAAAAAAGCCUAAACAAAAACCCAUUNUUCGCAGUUGUGGUGUGCUUAAAUCUCCUUGGCAAAAAAUCUUCAUCUUUGGGCAUGCUGUCACAAUCAUAUUCUCUAGGGCAGGGAAUUCAAAGAUUUGAUCCCCUAAGCAGAAGCUAGCCAGAGUUGGUAGACAACUUAAUUUCAAAUACUUGAGUCGGGUAAAAACAAUGCAUCGUUUCCCUUCAUCACACUCUGCUCUAAGUUGUCCAUGCCAUAUCUCUUUCAUAAUGCCAUUUCCCUCCAAUGUUAAUUCUUCUAGAUUAGGGAAUGUAACCUGAAAAUUAACAAAUGUGUUAGACUAAAGUUAAAGAUUUUGAACUAAUCAAUGAUGUAAAUUCUUCCUCACCUCCCUCAUUAAAUUGGAAGUCAAAGUUAAAUAGAUGAACCAUCAACAAGAUCUCAAUGUUCCAUUUAUUGUACAAGCUAAGUAUUACAGCUGACUUUUCUUUUCUUACCAUUCUAAUUAAUUUCAAUGGUUAGCAAAAUAAGAAAAGUUUUACCUCUAUGACACUACUCCCAUAACAGUGUCAAAAUAGCAAAAGUAUUACAACUGCGGGAGGGGACCACAAGCGGAAGGAAGUCGCAUAGAGACCAAGCCAGUGCAGGAGAAAUGGCACCGCGACGGGGUUACGAGGUGACAAAGGGGAAAUGGAUGUGUAGGUGUAUGAGAAGUGAAAGGUGCCUGACUUGGUACAGGGGACGGAUUUAAGGUGAGCAGAGUGUCAUGUAUGGCUUAGCUCUGAGGGUGAUAUGAGCAGACACAUGUAAGUAAGGAGAGGCAGACUUCAGGUGAUUUUGCCGUACAUACCGCACCAAGUCUCCAACCAAUAAAUGAGAGUAAGUGAAUGCUUUUCUUUUGUUUCGUUUUUUGAGAUAUUACAUAUGUGUUCCUAGAUUACUUUAAAAAAUAAAUUGCAAAAUAACAAGAAACACAAUUCAAAUACUAGAUUGCUUGAGUUUUAUAUAGGAAAUUAAAUUUUUUUUCUAGUUUACAAUAAAAUGCUUUAUUUUGUUGCUCCCUCGUAAUAUUUUUCAUUAUGUGAAAUGAAAUUUUUCAAAAAUUUAACUUUUUAAAUGAAAACAAAACAAAGAAAUCUUCUAAGAGUUAAUCUAAAAAUGUUAAAUGCAUUUAUCUCAGUUUAAUAAGGAUGAGAAUAUCAUAAGUAAGUGAGAAUAUUGUUAUUUUAACAAACACCGUAUGCAAAAGCUACAAUAUUUUUGUUGUAUGGUAACAUAAGAAAUGCUUGUGUAAAUGUUUUGAUUCAAUUAAUAUAUUUGGAUUUGAUUAAGUUCAUUGAAUAUAUAGUUUUGAUUCAAACUAAAUGUGUAAAUGUUUUACAUAGUUUUUUAUAUUCAUACCUCAUUGACCCAAAAUAAGGGUUGUUGAUUUGUUGAUUCUAUGAAGCUCAAAAGAUUUUCUGAAGCAAAUAUCUCCACCUUGUCACAUCCAUAUACCUUCAUUCUCUCUAAUGAUGGCCACUUCGAAGGGAUAAAAUGAAUUUCGUUUACCAAGGUAGACUUGGAGAUGAAAGUCUCAAAUGUAGGACAAUUCCCUAUAAUAAGCUCUUUCAACAAGGGGAAUUCACAGUGACUUCCAUGGCAAAAUCUUGUGAGUUCGGGAAGGCCUUUCAACUCCAAAUGUUCUAGUUUAGGGAAAAUCUGGUCUAUCAUAUCUUCUUCUAUAUCCUCCAUGAAUAUUAUCUCUCUUAACCACUUGCAUUUCGCUACUUCAAAGCUUUUGAGAUUAACUAAACUUUUUGCCAUAGAAGAUGAUAAUAGGUGCUUUAAGCUGUCACAGUUCUCAAUGCUCAACCUUGUCAAAGUCUGAGUGUAGUCAGAUCUAAUUGAAAAUUGAUUGGACCAUAUCCUUUCAACAUUGAUUUCGCUCAAAAACAGGUUCGCCAAGCAAGGGAAGUCCAUCUACACAAAUGUAAUUCUUAUACGUUAGAUAUUAUUAACAAAACAUAAAAAGGAUUCAAGUGGUACAUGUGGAAAAUAGCACAGGCAGGCAAUGCAUCCUUGUCAUAGCAACGAAGCAAACUGAGCGCAUUGAGGAGAAAGUGGACUUAAAGAUCAUGAACGGAAUUUGGAUGGGGGAUUCAAGAAAAGUUGGUAAUAAGGCGGUGGGUUGAGAUCAGAUGGAUGGAGGGAUCAGAGAGAAGAUACGGCGUAAACAUGAUUGUAUAGGGGAAAUGAGUAGGAGGUCUGUUCAGGGAUGUGGUUUUUUGACAAGAUAGAUGCUGUCAUGCUUUGGGAGGGUUACGUAAUUGACUAACUCUCUCUUUUAAUGAAAAUCAUUCCUGGCUUAUAUAAUAAAAAGAAUGAUGUUUGUCUAUGCAUCGACAGGUGCACAUGAGGAGAAAUUAAUUCUCAUUUUCUUAUAUAAAUAUGUCUAAAUUCUAAUAUUAGACAAAAAUAUUUUCACUAAUUUGUUAAGUUAAUUGUUCAUAACCAUAAUGUUUAUGUAGCUAUUUGUACAUCAUCAAGCAUAUUUGAGCACACUAAAAGCUUGAGACCAUUAAUAUUAAACAAAAGAGAACUCUGAAAAAGGAAAAACUAUAUUUGAGUGGUCUUAAAAAAAUAACUUUAAAAAAUAGUCACCAUUAAAUUUAAUUUCUCAAAAUAAAAUUCUUUUAAAAUGUAUUAAAAUAAAAAUAAAAACAAAAUAUACUAACCGUGUUAUCCAAAAAGACAAUAUCAGCAAUUUCCUUGGAAAGCCUUGUUGUAUUUCCUUCAUCAAUGAUUUCUAUUCUUUGCUCUCUUGAAAAUGCAGAUGCAAAAGUAAACAUUUUUGGACAAUCGAACACAUCAACGUUUUCCAAAGAUGGAUACUCCGGUGAUUUACUUCCUUGAUUAAAACUUGCCAAGUUUGCACAAUCUCCAAGAGUUAUGGAGCGUAGCAGAGGGAACACGGUCUCAUUUGCCACUUGUUCAUCUGAUCCUUCCUCUAUGAUGAUAUGUUCCAUCACAAUGCAAUUUUGUACUAUCAGCUCACGGAGUUGUGGUAGGCCCAAAGCCAUGGAAAGUGUAAAAAGGAACCUCAAGGUGCUACAAUCAUCAACUUUUAAUUUUUCAAGAUAUUUGAAGGUUAAAAUUUCUUGAGGAUUCCUACUCCAUAUUUUCAUCAACUCAGAAGUAUCAGAGAGUCUCACAUCACAGUAUGCAAUCUAUGAAAUCCAAUGAAUUGCACUAGUUAGUACCAAAAAUAUUGAAUAUAAAUAAAAUAAAAUAAAAAAGUUCUUUUUUUAUUUUAACAAAGAAAGUUGAUAUAAUCAAUAAAUUCAAACUAGAUUAUAAACAAUUUCAAUUCUCUAAGUACAUGUAAUUAAUUUACAUUAAAAAUAGCACCAUAAAAAAAAAAGACAACAAAAUUAUAAAACUUUUACUAUAACUAGAAUUUGGCCCCGCGAUGUUGGGGUCAACUAUUCUCCUUUAAAUUUUUUCACUAAUUUUUCUUAAAUCUCAUGAUCAUUUAUAAUAUAAAAGAUUUUUUAUCAGCACACAAAAUAAGAUGACUGAAAAAGAAAUAUUUGAUAUUUUGAGAUUAGGUUUUUAUGGUUGAUUUUUUUGUUUCAUGAAGUGAAUAUUUUAAUUUUUUAUUUUUAAAGUAUAAAAAUCAGAUGAUUUUAAUUUAUUGCAAAUUAUAAACCUUUUAUAACAACAUUUGGAACAAAAGAAAGAAAAAUAAUGGUAAACUUUUUGUUCAAUAUAUAGAUUGAAUUUGGAUAUAAAUGUAAUAAAAUUUUAAUUUAUUUUUGAUCUUAUUCAUUCUAACAUUCUCACAUCAUAGUAUUUAUGAUGAAAAAAGCCCUAACAAAAACCCAUUUGUUCGUUCCUUUCUUCUCUCUAAAACAUCAACCGCAGCCAUUUUCUUCUUCUCUUUCUAAAACCAAACUCUUCCUUGUUUGUUUCCUACCAUUUGUUUUGUUUUUUUUUUCUUUUUUAAAAGUAUCAUUCCCUAUUUCUUGCUCUUUUUUUUUGUUCAAAUUAUACUUUUGGUUUAUUUUCUAGUUUUUGUUUUUUCAUUUUCAACAUUUAGUAUUUUCAAAACACACUUUCCUUUCAUAUUUAAACUAAUUACACAACAAUUCUGCUUUAAAUAUUAGCAUGUUUUGGAAGCCGCCUCAUUUCCAACAACAUUUUACUAAGUACAGGGUGACGAGGAAAAGCAAAUGCAUACAGUUGAAAAAUCAAAAUAAAAAACCAAAACAACAUAAGAAAAUCUUUUAAAUUGAUGCUUACCUUUUCUUCAAACAUCCAUUUUAUGGUAGUUUUAAGGUCACAUUCCCACCACCCUUUUUCUUCAUCAUCUAUCACCCAAGGCAAUUUUUCUUUCGAUAUCACUUUUUGCAGUUGUGGUGUGCUUAAAUCUCCUUGGCAAAAAAUCUUCAUCUUUGGGCAUGCUGUCACAAUCAUAUUCCCUAGGGCAGGGAAUUCAAAGAUUUGAUCCCCUAAGCAGAAGCUAGCCAGAGUUCGUAGACAACUUAAUUUCAAAUACUUGAGUCGGGUAAAAACAAUGCAUCGUUUCCCUUCAUCACACUCUGCUCUAAGUUGUCCAUGCCAUAUCUCUUUCAUAAUGCCAUUUCCCUUCAAUGUUAAUUCUUCUAGAUUAGGGAAUGUAACCUGAAAAUUAACAAAUAUGUUAGACUAAAGUUAAAGAUUUUGAACUAAUCAAUGAUGUAAAUUCUUCCUCACCUCCCUCAUUAAAUUGGAAGUCAAAGUUAAAUAGAUGAACCAUCAACAAGAUCUCAAUGUUCCAUUUAUUGUACAAGCUAAGUAUUACAGCUGACUUUUCUUUUCUUACCAUUUUAAUUAAUUUCAAUGGUUAGCAAAAUAAGAAAAGUUUUACCUCUAUGACACUACUCCCAUAACCGUGUCAAAAUAGCAAAAGUAUUACGACUGGGGGAAGGGAACACAGGCGGAAGGAAGUCGCAUAGAGACCAAGCCAGUGCAGGGGAAAUGGCACUGCGACGGGGUUAGGAGGUGACAGAGGGGAAAUGGAUGUGUAGGUGUAUGAGAAGUAAAAGGUACCUGACUUGGUACAGGGGACGGAUUUAAAGUGAGCAGAGUGUCAUGUAUGGCUUAGCUGUGAGGGUGAUAGGAGAAGACAAAUAUAAGGAGAGGCAGCCUUCAGGUGAAUUUUUUCUAGUUUACAAUCAAUUGCUUUAUUUUGUUGCUUCCUCGUAACAUUUUUUGUUAUGCGGAAUGAAUUUCUCUUAUCUAAAAUUUAACUUUUUAAAUGAAACGAAACUUCUAAAAGUUAAUUUAAAAAUGUUAAAUGUAUUUAUCUCAGUUUAGUAACGAUGAAAACAUCAUAAUUAAGUGAAAAUAUUGUUAUUUUAACAAACAACAUAUGCAAAAACUACAAUCUUUUUGUUGCAUGGUAACAUAAAAAAUGCUUGUGUAAAUGUUUUGAUUCAAUGAAUAUAUUUAGAUUUGAUUAAGUUCAUUGAAUAUAUAGUUUUGAUUCAAACUAAAUGUGUAAAUGUUUUACAUAGCUUUUUAUAUUCAUACCUCAUUGACCCAAAAUAAGGGUUGCUGAUUUGUUGAUUCUCCGAAGCUCAAAAGAUUUUCUGAAGCAAAUAUCUCCACCUUGUCACAUCCAUGUACCUUCAUUCUCUUUAAUGAUGGCCACUUCGAAGGGAUAAUAUGAAUUUCGUUUACCACGGUAACUUUGGAGAUGAAUGUCUCAAAUGUAGGACAAUUCUUUAUAAUAAGCUCUUCCAACGAGGGGAAUUCACAGUUACUUCCAUGGCAAAAUCUCGUGAGAUUGGGAAGUUUGUGAAGCUGCAAAACUUCUAGUUUAGGGAAAAUCUGGUCCAUCAUGUCUUCUUCUAUAUCCUCCGUGAAUAUUAUCUCUCUUAAGCACUUACAUCCCAUUACUUUAAAGCUUUUGAGAUGAGUCAGACUUUUAGCCAUCGAAAAUGAUAAUAGGUGUUUUAAGUUGGGACAAUAACUAAUGCUCAAAUUUGUCAAAGUCUGAGUGCAGCCAGAUCUAAUUGAGAAUUGAUUGUGCCAUAUCCUUUCAACUUUGAUUCUCCACAAAGACAGGUCCUCCAAGCAAGGGAAGUCCAUCUACACAAAUGUAAUUCUUAUACAUUAAAAAUUAUUAAAAAACAUAAAAAGGAUUCAAGUGGUACAGAUGGAAAAUAGCACAGGCAGGCAAUAGCAGAAACUACAGGCAAUGCAUCCUUGUCAUAGCGAGGAAGCGAACUGAACGCAUUGAGGAGACAGUGGACUUAGUGGUAAACAGGAAGCAGCAUGAAGUGUUGGGAACGACAUUUAAAAUUAAAAUUAGCAAAGGACAGAAAAAUGGGAAGGAGAGAAGGGUGCAGGUAAAAGAGAGAGUGAGUGGGAUGGCAGAGCAAAAAGAAGGAGAAGGGAUGAAGAAUAAAGCCCAAGUGAAGAAGGGGCUGGAAUACAAAGGGAUGAGGCGACUGAGCUCAAAGAGGCAAAUGGAGAGGGAAUGAGCAAUAAUAACCCAAGAAAAGAAAGGGUUGAAACAGGAUUUUUUGAUUUUUUGGAGCUGUUUAGGAUGUCCAUGUGUGGGCUCAGCAUAUACAGCUUGAUUUCCUUGAGCUUUGAUUUUUGGAAAUCUCUGGAGCUUAAAGAUCAUCAAGGGAAUUUGGAUGGGGGAUUCAAGAUAGAUGUUGUCAUGCUUUGGGAAGGUUACAUAAUUGAGUAACUCCCUCUUUUAGUGAAAAUCAGUCCUGGCUUAUAAAACAAAUCUUUAUACUAUAUAAAAAGAAUGAUGUUUGUCAAUGCAUCGAUAGGUUUAAUUAUUAAAAUAUGUUUGUCAAUGAGGAGAAAUUAAUUCUCAUUUUAAUAGCAAGUUGAUGUACGGAUGGACUUGGAAUAAAUGUAAAAAACGACAGUGGAAAAAAAAACAACUUUUUAAAGCUAUAACCUUAAAAAACUAAAAUAUUAUAAAAAUCAUAAACUAAUAAUAUAAUUAUUAUAAAAAUAUGUGAUUAAAAUGAGAACCUACGUAUCUUACAGUAAAAAAAAAAUGCGAAGCUACACAUGUAUGAAAGAAUUAAUGAGUCAAGAGAUGUGGCAUAUGACUGAACAAAAGAUAAAUCAAUACCUCUUCACCAAAUAGUGCCGACUCAUGUUGAGGUGUGGAAGUAGAGCUUCCUGAUUUGUUUUUAGAGCAGAAGCCAAUGAGCUCCGGUAAAAAUUCAAGUUUCAACGAUCGUAAUUGCUGAAAUGCAAUUCUGUCAACUGCAUCAGUAUCAUUCAUGAUAUAUUGUAUUUCCGAGGCAUGUUCAAUGUGAAGGUGUUUUAAAUGCAGAAAACCUUCCCGAUUGUUCAAAGCAAUCUUGACACCUUCUAGACCCUUCAGAUAUAAAGCUUCUGUUUCCUUCAAUAAACGUAGAACCCCAUCACCCAAAUUAUCGAUGCUUGUACCCACCUUGAGUUUUAGGAUUCUCGAGUAUUCAAUUCUCGAGUACCAGUCAGUUUCAGAUCCAAUAACAAUGUUGUAUCUUCGCAAUUUCUCAGAGAACAAGUCGUUUAGCACAAUGUCGGCAUCAGGAAUACAAACAUUUAAAGUGGUCAAACCAGACAAGUCCUUCAAUUCAGCUAGCCGAGCAUUACUUCCUAGGUCCCAUUUAACAAAACUUGUACCAAUGUAUAAUUCUUCUAAUUUGGACAAACUCGAUAAAACACCUGCUGGAAUUAUAAGUUCGUAACAAUCACUCAGAUCUAAUAAUCUUAGCUUAGUCAGUUGCCCUAUCUCUUGAGGUAGCAUUACUCCAGAACAGCCAAAAAGGCUAAAAAUUUCUAGAUUUUUGAGUUUUCCAAGAUUGAUCAUAUCUCCCAGCACACAUUGAUUUAGGCACAAUGCUCGAAGGCUUGUUGGGAGAUUAAUUGAGGAAAAUUUCAUUUUAAGCAAAUCUAAGACUUUGAGAUUUUUCAUUUUCUCAAAAAACUUAGCUGGCAUUUCCACGUCAGAAUCCUUGCUACCCAUACUGAAAAAAGUAAGUUGUGGACAUUCCAACUCAUGAGGAAGCUUCUCAACACUAUCAAAACUCAAACUAAUCAUUUUGAACUUUCUCAUCCUCUCUUCAUCUGGCCAAUCGUCAAACACACCGUUAUGCUUCAAUGCAAAUGCAUGGUUGUCCCUAGAGGCAAUUGCUAAGGCCACAUCACAAUCGAAGUCAUGCAUAUCGAAGCGGUCAUCGCUGUAACUAUCACGCAACAAACAAAAGGCUUUGAGGUCACUUACCAGAGUCAACACUCUGUUUCGCGUGUCUUCUACUGUCUUGACAUUAUCAAAUUAAGGAAAACCCAUGCCAUAUCUCACCAAGUCUUGAACGCGAGCAUUAUGGCCUAGAAGACCGCAAAGCAAGAAAGUUUGUUUGAGCUCCUCACUUCCUAAAUUAUCGUAACUCAACUGUAUAGCUGAAUAUACAGCUCCAGGUAUCCCUGUGAAGUUGCUUGGAGAAGGCCUCUGAAAUUUCAGUGAAGCAUCCUUCCAUGCAUGUAUAGCUUUGGUGCUCAAAGCUCUUGCGACUUUUACAAUAGCAACAGGCAAUCCUUCACACUUUUUGGCUACCUCAGUUGCUACAGAUCGUAAAUCAGAAUCUUUAAAAUCGUUCUCAGCCGUCUCCUUAAACAGGUUCCAAGCUUCUGUUUCAUUCAAAACAUCGAUUGCAAAAGCACUCUUAACACCCAUCUCAUCGGUUAGAACACGUCCAUUUCUUGACGUUAGCAGUAUCUUGCAUCCGUCGUAUUGAUCUCCAAAAGGAAUUCCGACUUCCUCUAGAUCUAGUCUCGCCCAAAUAUCAUCUAAAAUAAUAAGAAUCCUCUCCUCUUUCUGCAAGGGCUCUGCAAUUUCGGGAGUCCUCUCCUCUUUCUUCAAUGACUUUUCAAUUUCGGGAAUCCUCUUCUCUUUCCUGAACCUUCUCAACAACGAACGUGCUCUAGCCGUUGUAGUCAUUUCUUUUAAUUCUAAUCUCAACGACUCUGCAAUUUCGCCUUGGAUAUUGUAAAUGUUAGGAGUCUGAGUUACAGUUGCUUUAACCACCCAAUCAAAUAACUUAUCUUUUUGAACUUGUGUGGCAACUUGAUUGACUAGCGUGGUUUUACCCACACCACCCGUCCCGUACACUCCUAUCAUGGUGAUAGUAGAAUCUUUCAAUGCCUCUAUAACUCCGUCAAAAACCUCCUUUCUUGAAUCAAAAGCCUUAAAAUUUUUAAGAGGUUCACACUUCGGGGGUUGAACAUCAGGGUAUCCUACCCCGUUAAACUGACAGUACUGUUGGAUAAGGUCGUCAACAGCCGCGACACCUUCUUCUGCUUUCUUGCUAAGCUGGUAGCGAGACUUGAAGUUGUUCUUUGCUUUGUCUUCAAGAUCCUUCAUUUUCUUCACAUCUUCAUGCAUUACCUUGUCCACUCUCUUGCACCAAAGCUCGACAUCCGGUUUUCUCUUCUCCCCCUUCGUCUCUGCAGCAUUGACCUCUAGCUGGACACUUAUUCUUUUUGUGUUCAACUCCUCAAGUUUCUUCUCGAACUUGUCAACAUUUUUCUUGUAGAUGAAUAUAUAUCUAAUAUGACGUUUAAUUUCUUGGAAGAUGCCUUUCGCAGCUUCCGAAGCAGCGUUGGCGCAGACGCCAAUGGCACAACCUUCCAUUUUUUUAUUCAACAGACAAGUAAAGCAAAUCACAGAAGAACAGAGACAAAAGAUAGCAGACCAAAAAUGAAAACAACGAGAAGAAUAUAUUAGAAAACGAUGUAAGCAAGGGAAAUAAUCAGAAUGGUGAGAAAUUGGAAAUGGCGGCUUUCUCCAUUAGUUUUUGCUGUGAACAAAGAGGCAACUAAGAAUCAAAGUGAAAGGUUCGGGUUUUUUUAGUGGAAAAUAGAGGGAUGUGAGAAGCCGACACGUUGAGGUGAAGAACAAGAGAAGAGAAGGAAACAACAAAGCAGGAGGAAAACAAAGAACGUUGUGUUAAACAACAGAACAAACGAAAGAAAAAGUAGGGAAGAAAGAUAAUAGAGACGAGUUAGAGCAGACCGUUGUGUUAAACAACAGGGCAAGCUGCAUAAAGCUUUGCAUCAUGUAUCAGAAAAAUGGGUCACCAAAGGCGAAACAUGGUGAUUGACUCUUGACGUGCAUCAAAUAAAACGCAUCAGUUAUUGUACUGUACAGUCCAAAACGGGAGAGCUUUUCUUUCACGUGGGAACACAUCAGUUAUUUUACUGAUUGUUCAAAUAUAAAGAAAGACUUAACCAAAAGUCUUCAUUUUGUAUGGUCUCCAGUGAAAGCUUGGUCCUUCCCGUUCUGCUUCCAUUUGCUUUCCUCUGUUACGCUCUCGCAUCAAGCUUUUCAUGACCAUUGAAUGGGGGGCAAUGUAUCAUAAUCGUUGGCCACUAGAAACAAAACAUAAUCACGUGCCCAAUUUAUUGUGUGAUAAAGACAAGACGGGGGAUAGCUUUCAUCGACGCGUGCAUACUGCUUUUGUCCACAUAUCAAGGAAGACUUACCAAAAGUCCUCAUUUUUAAACUUUUGCAUUUAUGACGUAGGCUCCACAAAUGAAUAGUUUGGAUUGAUGAGGCGAAAGUGGCCUUUCAUAAUUGUCUAUGCAACUUGUCAUGAUUUAUCAAGGGGAAGUAGGAGGUUUUACAAUAAAUUAUCUUACAAUAAUCUAGUUGAAUUAACCUUUGAUUGUUUGCAAAGGUAAAGUAAAUUAUAAUUUUCAUAAGAAAUAUUAAAAGUCAUGACUUUUUUUUGACAAUUUCGAAAAAGAUAAUUUAUCCUUCGUGGUAGUCAUGUUUAUAUUUUUGAAACUCUGAAAUAAAAUAAUGAAGAGAAACACUUCAACUCCAUUGCUUUGUGAGAGUUGUAUAAACGACAAAGUUAUGGAGAAACCAAUUUUAGAUGCAUAAAGUUGGUAUAUUGAGAGGACGUGAAGUGCAAUUAAGGACUUUUGUAAAUAUUUCUCUCGUAUUUUAUACAAAUAACUUUAAAAAAGAAAUUAGAGUUGGGACAGAUGAUAAAAGAUGUACAAUAGCUCAGGGUCACCGUGAUGUAGAUUUCAGCAUUUGUCAUUGGAGAUGGAAAUGGUCCCUGGCAAGUUGAUCCGAUUUUUUUGAAGAAUUAGGAUGAAUUUCUCCUUCCCAAAAUUGUAAAAUUAGACCAAUCAACACAAAAAGAAUCAAUACAUGAUUUCUAUUCAUUAGCUUAGUUUUGUAAGCUUAUUUAUACCACUAACUUAAAUACAAUAACAUUAAACACUAAUCAUUUCACCAUUCCAACUUCAAGAUUUUUCCACAUAUUCACAUAAUUAGUCAACUCUUGAAUCCCAUAAAUCCUACAAUCUCAUAUAUCUUAUCUUGGUGAGUUUGAAAAUAAAAAAAAAAUGAAAUCAACUCUUAACAAAAUAUUAAAAAUAAAAAAACUUAGAUUUAAGAAAAAUAAUCUCGACUGUAAAACCCUUGAAUAAUAAUAUUUAAAAUUUCAAUUUCUCAUCUUAAUUUAGUUUUGAAAUUAAAAAACAGCUCAGGAUUUUUACUAAUAACAAGGGACUAGAAAGAAAGAUGGAAAUUGAGGUAGCAUGAAGAAACAAGAAGAAUGGAGAACAAAGUAGAAAAAAUUAAACAAAAUGUAAAAUAAUGGAGAAACAUAAUAAGAAAAAAUGAGAGUAUUUUUUAAAGCCAUAAUAGGCACACGGCCAAUCAACCCCACACUAAGGAGGGACUAUAAAAUAUAUUUUAACAUAAAUAGAUCCAAGACAUGUUAAAGCCAAAGAAAUUAAUUCAUAAAGUUGUCAGGUGGUCUACUUAGUAAUAAACUUAUAAAAUCUUUUGGAGAAUAAGAGCGAUGGCCUAAUCAGAGGGGAGGGGAAGGGAGGUGAAGAGAACGAGAAAAAGGACGAAACCCCAAAUACUCUUUACUAAGGGUGAGAUAGAGUGAGAUAGAGGAAGCAUACAUAAAGUAAAAGAUCAAUUUGAGGGAGAAGGGGGAGAAUGCAAAUGAUGCUUCCAUGGAAUGCCUUUGCUUUUGUGUACAUCUUUUUUAUGGUGGUAUUAGGCUCAGACACAAAGCGCCCAUUAUCCCCCUCUGCUGUAUGCACUCUCCUUAGCAACGGCGUGCUUGAGUGUCCUUGGGAGAAAACCUUCAAUUCAGGGCAUUCUUCCACAAUCAAUUCAUCCAAUUAUGGGAACUCAAGCUGUAGUUCCCCGAGCAGAAACUUGUAAGGUUGGGUAAAUAUUUAAGUCUCAGAAACGUCAAUCUCGAAAACUUGAUGCCGCUUUUCGCUGCACCACCCAAAUCACUUUAUUAUUUAUACUCAUUUUUUUAAGUUUGCACCAUGAUCACUCUUUUAUUAACACUAAGAUCAGAUGCUGAUGGUUUGGAGAUUUUUUUUUUUUGAAAAGUUAUUUAUUAACACUAAGUCACCAUGACAUCCGAGUAAAGGAAUCACUCUUUUCUCAAUUAAAAAAAAACAAACACUAAGCCACCACUCUCCUUGACAUAAUACAUCUGCUUGUCCAAAAAAAAUACAUACACUUACAACUAGAAACUGCAUGAACAGUUCCUUUACAAUUUCCUUUCCUACUGUGAGCUACAAAGAAGUCAAGCAGCUCUCAACCCUUCACCUAAGUGCUAUACAAAACGUGACGUGGAGUCUCCUUGACGUGGCGAACGUAACCGCGUUGAAUGAAUUGACCUUAACGAAUAUGAAACUACCUUUUGCUGAAGAAAAGAUAGGCAGCCAAGUAAAAAUCAUAAAAAAAAACGUCUCCUCCAUGGGUGAGUUCCUCUUGCUUGUCUACCUGCUGUUAAUUGUUACCUUAAUCUUCAUUUGAUUUGUUUAUUUUUUUCCUUUUCAUUUGAGUUUUGUUCAGGGAAACAAUAUGAUUCCCUUUCAAUAUUUUUCUUUUGGUGAACAUUUCAACCUUACGGAGAAAGGUUAACGGUGCCCGCCAGUCUUAUGGUUUUCUUUCGUUUAAUUUGAGGAGGACACUCAAGCAAGAGCCGGAAGCUGAAUCUGAUGCAAAAUUCGACACGGAGUCCACACUUAUUUCAAGUGGUGAACCCUGGAUAAUAGAUGGUUUUCCUUUAUGAUCGGUUUAAUGCGUGCCCUCUUAUUUUUGAAAGAGUGGUGGAAAAACAUCAACAUCCACAAUCUGAAAAUACCAAAGAAUUUGUGUGCUUCAUGUAGAAUAAUCCAGACAGGUUGGUCUCAGUUGUUCUCUAUUAUUCAUGCUAAUAAUGAAAAUACUUGAGAUCAAUUUUAAAACAUUAAAAUCUAUAUAUCACAGCUUAGAAGAGACUUUAAAAUGAUAUUUGAAUUUUUUACCUAUAAUGCAGAGCUUCCAAUUUGAUUGAUCAAUUAAUUAACAAUUUCGAUUAUUCAAGAUGACGGUCUUGAAUAAGGUAUGGUAAAUAUGAUCUAUAGUACCGAUUAUACAUAGAGAAAAAAAGCUUAGUUUAUUGCUGCAAGAACUUCAACUCCUACAAGAACAGCGGGCAAUAGGAGGCAGUUUAUGAGCAACAACUGAGCAAUCAUCCAUUAACAGAGAACAGAAACAUGAGUCGGACUGAAGGAUAAAUUAUUUUAAUUAAAAAAAAUUCAAGAUAAAUCUAAGAGACAAAGUGCAUUUUAUUUAUUUAACUGUUAGCGUUUAGGUUGAGAAGUUUAAAAUAUUAAUAAUUGAUUAUUUAAAUAUUAAUAUUUUUAUUUAUAAUUUAAUUAUUAAUAUUUAAUUUAUAAUUUAAAUAUUAAUUUUUUAUAAUAUAUAAUUAACAAAUUAAACAUUUUAUUUUAAAUUCUUUUUUUACAAUCAUAAGGGAUAUUUUGAUCCUCUCAAUUUUUUAGACUAUUCGCCCAACUAUGAAAUAAAAAAUAUCAUAAAAAGGUUUAAUUAAACUUUGAUUUUAAGUGAUUUUAAAGAAUAGCUAUUACAAAAGAAUAGCUAUUCCGGAAGACAUUUGCCAUCCAAACUAUGGAAAAAAUAAUUAUGGGUGGAACGUAAAAGGAAGUGAGAAGCCGACAAUAGGGAAGGGAAGGAAAAAAAGAGCAAGUGAUAAACAAAGAAAGGGAAAAAAUAACAAUUUGAAGUAUAAAAAAAGACUCAACUCUUUAUUAUAUCUUUCUUUCUUUAGAAUAAUUACAUCUAAUAAUAAGCCCUCGUUAAUAAUGUAUGCAUCACAAUCCCUCGGAUUUUAUUAAACAAAAAUAUAAUAUAUUUGUCCAAACUCAAAGGAAAAAUCAAGUUUCCCUAUUUGUAUUAAAUGUUUUAUCGUUUGAUUGUAGAAUAUCAUUUUAUAAAUAACUAAAAAUAAUUUUUUUACAAAAAUUUAAAUAAUUAUUUUAAAUUAUAAUUAUUUAUUUUUAAAAGUUUUUAAUUUGUAAAUUUACUUAUCAACGAAAUGACACUUUGAGGAAUGUGAAAGGUUCUGGGUUUUUUCGAAGAAAAGCAAAGGAAUGUGAGAAGUCGACACUUUGAGGUGGAGGACAAGAGAAGAGAGGGAAAACAACAAAGCGAAAGGAAAACAAAGAACGUUGUGUUAAACAACAGAGCAAGCUGUACAGCACUCACUCUCAGACCAGAGCUUUGCAUCAUGUAUCAGAAUCAUGGGUCACCCAAGGCAAAGACGAUAAUGUGCAUCAAAUAAGGCACAUGGGAUCGGGGCCACUUGCUCAGUUAUUAUUGUACAAUAAAGCUUAAAACGGGAGAGCUUUUCUUUCAGGUGUAAACGGUGUACUGAUUGUUCAAAUAUAAAGAAAGAUUUGACCAAAAGUCUUCGUCUUUAAGCACACAAUUUCCAUAUUCCACUGUGAUGCAAUGCAAGUCUUCAUUUUGUAUGGUCUCCGGUGAAAGUUUGAUCCUCCCUGUUCUGCUUCCAUUUGCUUUCCUCUCUUACACUCUCGCACCAAGCUUGUUCAUGACCGUUGAAUGUGUGCAGACUGCUUUAUACAUUAUGGCGUGCUCGAUUAUUUUGUCAUAAAGACAAGACGGGAUAGCUUUCAUUGACCUGUGCAGACUGGUUUUGCCCAUUUAUAAAGGAAGACUUGCCAAAAGUGAGUUUUCAUUUUCACCUUUUCGAUUAUGAUGUAGGCUCCAUAAAUGAAUAGUUUGGAGCGGAAGAUGAGGCGAAAGGGGUCCUUCACAAUUGUCUAUGCAACUUGUCUUGAUUUAUGAAAGAGGAAAUAGGAGGUUUUACAACAAAUUGCCUUACUUUAUCAUUAAAUUCCAAAUGAAUUAACUUUUGAUUAUUUGCGGAGGUAAAGUCAAUUAUGAUUUUCAUAAGAAAAAUCAAAAGUCAUGACUCUUCUUUAUAAUCCCGAAAAAGAUAGUUUAUCCUUUAUGGUAAUUAUGUAUAUAUUUUUGAAACUCUAGAAUAGAUAAUGGAGAGAAGUACUUCAACCCCAUUACAUUAUGAGAGUUGUAAAAACAAAAAGAUUAUGGAGAAACCAAUUUUAGAUGCAUAGAGUAGAUAGACUGAGAGGAUGUGAAGUGUAAUUAAGGACUUUUGCAAAUCUUUCUCUCAUCUUUUAUGCAAUGCAAAUGCACCCUGACCAAGGUAUCAGAGCUGUGACAAAUGAUGAAAGAUGUACAAUAGCUGAGGCUCACCAUGAUGUAGAUUUCAGCAUUCGUCAUUAGAGAUGUGAAAGGUACUUGGCUAGUUGAUCCAAUAUUCUUGAAGAGUUAGGAUGAAUUUCUCCUUCCCAAAAUUGUAAACUUUUAAAAAUAAAAAAUAACAGCUGAAAAAAUGUAAGAAAGGGUACUCUAUUUAAUUUCUAUUAUCCCCUUGUACUGAUAACAAGUUGAUAAUACUUUCAAUUUAAAUAUAAUUGAAGACAAAACAUAAAAUACAAAAAACUUAUUUUUUGUGCACACUUUUACAAAUAUUGAUCAUAAUAUAACAAAAAUGUUACAUGCAGUUAUUAAAAAUAAUUUAAAUACAUAUCUCUCAUUCUAUAUGUCACCAAAUUAAAGUUAAGUCAUUUAGUCAAUCUUUGGCACUAGAAUAGACCUAGACCAAUCAACACACAAGAAUCAAUACACUAUUUUUAUUUACUAGCUUAACUUCAUUUAUACCACAAAUUUAAAUACAAUAACAUUAUACACGAAUCAUUCUACCAUUCGAAUUGCAAUAUUUUUUCACAUAUUCACGUAAUCAAUCAAUUCUUGAAUCUCAUGUAUUUUGAAAUUGUAUAUGUCUUACCUUAUUGAGUUUGAAAAUAGAAAAAUUAAAAUCAACUCUUAAUAAAAAAAAAAACUUAGAUUAAAAUGCAUCGUUUUAAAGAUCUUUAUAAUGCAGUAAUUAGGGAGAGCAAAAUACGCAUUAUACUAUUUUCUUUCAUCAAGGUUUUUGCCAUUGGGUUUUUUUUGAUAAGAUUCUUAAUGAGGCAGUAUUUCAAAAACAUAUUCUUAGAAAGAUUAUGUACUCUUUUUCCUUCACUUGUAUUUUUUUCUAUGAGGUUUUUUUCUUAUAAAGUUUUAACGAGGCAUAUUUUUAAUACAAUAUACAUUUAAGUGGGAGUAUUAUGAACAAAUAUAUGAAUGUCCAUUAUGUUAUAACCCAAGAAAUGUAAACCAAGUCAAACAACCCAAUCGAUAAGAUACAAAAAAUGUAAUAUGAUUUGAACUAUAAUUUAAGGGUUUAUCGAUCUAUAAAUAGGUUUUUCACUUUACUUGUAAAUACGAACUUGAAUAAAAUUUUUUUACUUCCUCUAAAUACUUUUUUUCCGUUAAAUGCUUUCUCUUAUAUUUCUCUUAUAGUUAUUCUUUUCAGAUUUAUUUUAUAACAGUAGAUAAUAUUUUUAAUUUUAUUUCAAAUUAGAGGCGAUUCAUGUCCUAUCAACUGCUACAGGGCUGACCCUGUUUGCGGGGACGAUGGAGUAGCCUGCUGCCCUGAUGCUCAUUAAGUCGUUAAAAUUGGAUUUAUUGCGAGGUUGGUAAUAAUCGUGGAAACGGAUCUUUCCCUGUUCAGGCUCUGCUUUUGGUGCAUAUAGUUUGGCUUUUUGAAAUUUAUAAAGUAAUGUUGUUCCAGCUGACCAUGAAAGAAGGCUUCCUUUUCUGGAUUUCAUUUAGGACCAAUUUCAUUCAAAGUGUAAUACGUGAGGACUUGCAAACGGAGAGCUGAUCUCAGUCGGAUUAACGCUUUAGAACUGGGAUUUACGUUGGUUUAGCCAAUUGAAUUAUAUUAUGGGUAGGUUGUUUAGAGAUAUUUAUAUAUAUGUUAUAUAUUGAACUUGGAAUAGAAAUCCCCUGUCCCCUCCCAUGCCCCAUUUUCCUGCUUCUAUCAUUGUUCAAUUUAACAAGAAUCCUACACAUGUGAUAUAGUGAGAAAAUAUUAUAUAGUGAAUAUCUCCAUCCUUCAGAUGUUUCUUUGAUUUUAACUUUUUUAUAUAUUUUUAAUUUAUUUAAUUUUAAUUUAAAUUUGAUACAUUUUUAUCAUUAAUUGCAUUUAAUUAAUUAAUUUUUAAACAUAUAAAAUGGAAUUUUAGUAAAGUAGGGUAAGAUCCUUCUAUUACUUUCAAAGAUAAUUAAAUUUGUUUACUUUUUUUUUAAGUUAUGGAUAAAGAAAUUAUAAAUAUGAUCAAUUAUUAUGAAGAUUGAAAAGGGAGCAUAAUGAGAAAGAAGGUAAAAAAAAAAUCAAAUGAAUCAAAUGUAACCUAAAAGUAAAGAAGAUGAAUUAUCUCGUCGACUAAAAAUAUUUUGAAAAAAACUAAAACAAAAAAAAGAUGUCAAAUUGAUAAAUUAAUAAAAAUUUCACAAAUUCCAGACAUAAGGGUAAUAAAUUUUUAAUAUUGUUUCAUACUAUGUUUUUAUUUUAUUUUAUUAUUAUAAUUUUUUUAGCUUAUAUAAUUAUAAAUUUAUUCUAAUAAUUUCAUAGGAAUUAAAUCAAAUUACUCAUCUUUGUGCCAUAGCGUUGCUGUAAAAUAUUGGACCGUUCAUAGUCGUGGGUAGUAUAAGAUAACGGAGGAUUAAUGAUCAAAGAAAAUAAAAAAGAGAGUGAGAUGGUUACAGUAGAAAAGUUACCGCCUAACCACUCCUUGUAUAAUGGUCCUCUUCCAUCAUUUCUCGCACUACUAUUGAGUCCUUGUCACCUUCCUUCUCAUUUCCAUACAUAUAUUCAUAGCAGAGGAUUAAUGCGGUAGCUGUGAGAAAAUAUCUCUGUUUUCAACCUUCCAUCUCCAUUUACAGUAUAAAAAAACUCGUUCGGUUUCAUGAACAUUCCAUACUUUAAUCACAUUUUAAAGGAUGAAUCUUGAGAUUUAGGUUUAGUUUUUUUUUUCUUUUUGGUUUUGAAAAUAGUGAAGUCGGGAGAAGUGCAAGCAGAGUACAAGAGCACCGGAGGAGUUUUUCGUUAUUACGAAGAAGAGAAACGAGUGACAACGAUAAAGAUGUAGAGGAGAAGAAAGACAGAAAGGGAAAAAAAAUACGAGAGUAACAUUUUUUUUUAAUAAAAAAUCUGGCUUGAAGAAUGUAGUAACAGAUUUUGAGCUUUUGAUAAUUAGAGCAGUUCAAAAAGAUAGUUUGAUAUUGAAAUGAAUGAAGCAUUAGCCUUUAUUAAUCUUAAUUAAGUCUCAAUUUAUCCUUCUUGACUGCAGGCUCAACAAUACAAGUGCUUAACUCAAUUUGGAAAGUGAGACUAUACACUAAUUACUAGUAUUACUAACAACAUUAAUUUGGGAGGAAAGAUAAGUCUUAAUUAGUAUUACCAACAACAUUAAUCCAUCACUUCUUUGAAAUGAAUGAGCCAAAGUGGGAGAGAAUUAUACAUGAAUUUUCCACAGACAAUCUUUUGUAGCUGUUUUUUUUUUUAUAUAGAAACAAAUCCUUAGCUUUGGAUUGCCUUGUUUUGCAUCAUUCAAAGGGUUAUUAAAUUAUUAAAUUUUUAACAUCAAAUUAUUAAAUAGAAAUAGGCUUUUUAACAAUAAAUUAUCUUACUCUAUCUUUAAAAUCAAAAGAAAAAGUAUCUUAAUUUGGUUUAAUAAUACUGGAUCUUGUACACCCACUAUGUAGGUGAAAGAAAAAAUAUGAUAAUUGAAAUAAUUAAAGUUUUAUUUUAAAUAGAAAAAAUGCAUGUAAGAUAAAAAAAUCAUGUGUAUUUUGUGACAUCAUCACAUGAUUAUUACCAUGUUAACCUCAUAUUAUUUUCUUUUAAAAAGUGAUUUUAUUAAUUUCAUCACCAACAUGUCAUUUCAAGCUUCUAACUUAGAUAACAUGAGAUUUUCAUAUUGUUAUUGUUAAUUUCAUCAUUUGCUAAAAUUAGCACAUCAUCACUAUUACAUCAUCAUAAUCAAUGUCAUAUUACUAGAAAAUGUGAAUGAUUAAAUUAAAAUUAUCAAAUUUUAAAAAUAAAAUGAUUUGAUUUUUAUGAAUUUUAUAUAAAAAUUAAAUCUAAAAUGUUAAUAAAACAUAUAGACUAAUUACAUAAUUUGAUUUUUAAGAUACAUCCCAACCAAACUUCUACUUUUUCCUUAUCUUUGACUUUAUUCACUUUCUCUACAGCGCAUUAUUGAUUUUCUUAUCCAAUUCAACAUCCAUCAUCUUAUUUCUUUUCUCAACUUUAGCUUGAUUGUCCAAGUUUAGAGCAAUUGAUUCUCCAAGUUUUGAUCGUUGAUCUUACUGCAUGUUUGAUUUGUGGAAUGGAAUAUAAUGAAAUAGAAAAUGUAUUAUAUAUAUAUGAGAAUAGAACAAGGUAAUAAUAGAAUAAAAAUAUUAUUAUUAUUAAGUUUAAUUAACAUAAUAGAAUAAGGUAAACAUUAUUAUUAUAACUUAUUAUAAUAUUUAAUUAAUAAAAAUAAUUUUGAAAUACCAAAUAAAUAGGUGAUAAAAAGAUAAAAAUAACUUAAUUUUAUUGUAAUAUAUGAUUUUUUUAUUUUACUUUAUUUUUAAAAUAUUAAUAAUUAUAAUUUAAUCAUUAACAUUUGAAAUUAUUAUUAUUUUAUUAUAAUUUAACUAUUACUUUGAUUAAAAUAUUAAUAAAUUUUUAAAUUAAUUUAUUAUAAUAUAUAAUUAAAAAGUUAAAUUUUUAUUUUAAUUUUUUUUCACAAUCAUAAAGAAUAUUUUAGUCCUAUCAAUUUUAGAGGCUAUUUUCCAACCAUAAAAUAAAAAAUAUCAUAAAAAAUUGAAAUUAAUUAAUUCGGGAGAAGUGCAAGCGGAGUACAAGAGCACCGGAGGAGUUUUUUGUUAUUACGAAGAAGAUAAACGAGUGACAACGAUGAAGAUGUAGAGGAGAAGAAAGAGAUAGUUUACAAGUUAAUUAAGUGACAACGAUAAAGUGUACAAGAUAGUUUGAUAUUAAAAUGAAUGAAGCAUUAGCCUUUAUUAAUCUUAAUUAAGUCUCAAUUUAUCCUUCUUGACUGCAGGCUCAACAACACAAGUGCUUAACUCAAUUUGGAAAGUGAGACUAUACACUAAUUACUAGUAUUACUAACAACAUUAAUUUGGGAGGAAAGAUAAAUCUUAAUUAGUAUUACUAACAACAUUAAUCCAUCACUUCUUUGAAAUGAAUGAUCUAAAGUGGGAGAAAAUUAUACAUGAAUUUUCCACAGACAAUCUUUUGUAGCUGCUUUUUUUUUUUUUAUAGAAACAAAUCCUUAGCUUUGGAUUGCCUUGUUCUGAAGCAUUCAACGGAUUAUUAAAUUAUUAAAAUUUUAACAUCAAAUUAUUAAAUAGAAAUAGGCUUUUUAACAAUAAAUUAUCUUACUCUAUCAUUAAAAUCAAAAGAAAAAGUAUCUUACUUUGGUUUAAUAAUACUGGAUCUUGUACACCCACUAUAUAGGUGAAAGAACAAAAAUGAUAAUUGAAAUAAUUAAAGUUUUAUUUUAAAUAGAAAAAAUGCAUGUAAGAUAAAAAAAAUCAUGUGUAUUUUGCAACAUCAUCACAUGAUUAUUACCACGUUAACCUCAUAUUAUUUUCUUUUAAAAAGUGAUUUUAUUAAUUCAUCACCAACAUGUCAUUUCAAGCUUCUAACUUAGAUAGCAUGAGAUUUUCAUAUUGUUGUUGUUAAUUUCAUCAUUUGCUAAAAUUAGCACAUCAUCACUAUUACAUCAUCAUAAUCCAUGUCAUAUUACUAGAAAAUGUUAAUGCUUAAAUUAAAAUUAUCAAUUUUUUAAAAUAAAACAAUUUGAUUUUUAUGAAUUUUAUAUAAAAAUUAAAUCUAAAAUGUUAAUAAAACAUAUACACUAAUUGCAUAAUUUGAUUUUUAAGAUACAUCCCAACCAAACUUCUACUUUUUCCUUAUCUUUGAUUUUAUUCACUUUCUCUACAGCUCAUUAUUGAUUUUCUUAUCCAAUUCAACGUCCAUCAUCCUAUUUCUUUUCUCAACUUUAGCUUGAUUGUCCAAGUUUAGAGCAAUUGAUUCUCUGCAUGUUUGAUUCGUGAAAUCGAAUAUAAUGAAAUAAAAUAUGUAUUAUAUAUAUGAGAAUAAAAUAAAGUAAGAAUAGAAUAAAAAUAUUAUUAUUAUUAUUAAGUUUAAUUAACAAAAUAGAAUAAGAUAAACAUUAUUAUUAUAACUUAUUAUAAUAUUUAAUUAAUAAAAAUAAUUUUGAAAUACCAAAUAAAUAAGUGAUAAAAAGAAAAAAAUAACUUAAUUUUAUUGUAAUAUAUGAUUAUUUUUUAUUUUACUUUAUUUUUUAAAUAUUAAUAAUUUAUUUAAAAUAUUAAUAAUUAUAAUUUAAUCAUUAACAUUUGAAAUUAUUAUUAUUUUAUUAUAAUUUAACUAUUACUUUGAUUAAAAUAUUAAUAAAAUUUUAAAUUAAUUUAUUAUAAUAUAUAAUUAAAAAGUUAAAAUUUUAUUUUAAUUUUUUUUCGCAAUCAUAAAGAAUAUUUUAGUCCUAUCAAUUUUAGAGGCUAUUUUCCAACCAUAAAAUAAAAAAUAUCAUAAAAAAUUGAAAUUAAUUAAUUCGGAAAAUGGCUAUCACAGGAUAAUUCCCUGACGUAAAUCAAAUAAAACAAAUGAGGUUUGGGGCCACUUGCUCAAUUUUUCUACUUUAAAGUUCAAAAGGGGAAGAGCUUUUCUUUGACGUGUGAAUAGUGAAUACUAUAAUGCUUGUUCAACUAUAAAGAAAGACUUACCAUUUUCCCGUGUGCUGCGGUGCAAGUUUUCUUCAUCAAUUUGAAGCAUUAAGUUAUUGCCAAUUGAAGUAAAAAGAAAGACUCACCAUUUAAGUCUUUAUUGUACCUUUUUUUUUUAGAAUGAUUAUAUAUUUAAUAAGUCCUCAUUAAUUAUUUAUGCAGAUUUUAUUAAACAAGUAAAUAAUAUAUUUGUCCAAAACAAAGAGAGUAGAUCCGAGCUAAAAACAAAAAUCAAGUUUCCCUAUUUGGUACAGCUGUAAUUAAAAAAAAAAUGAAAGAAUUUGUAAUUGCAGAAAGAACAAGACGUGCGGGCAACUCUUGAUUUAAUAUUUUUAUAAAGACUUUUAAUUAUAGGCCAUUGAAUAAUGUGGCCUAUGUAUGUAGACACCUAUUUAAUAAAAUAAAAUAAAUAAAUAAAAGCUUAAAAAUAAAAAUAAUAAAAUGUAUAGGAAUUUCAGUCUUACAAUGAGGAAAAGGGGCAAAAACACCGACAAAAUUCAAUGAAUGUCAAAGAAGACAACGAAAAGAAAGCAUCUAAGGGAGGAAGCUGAAAAUAAAUAUUGCAGGAAAUUAAAUCUAAUAAUGAACAAAAGUAAUGGUUGUCCGUAAAAGUAAGGUAAAGUAUGAUUUUCAUGACAAAAUCAAAAGUCAUGAUUCUUAAUGAUUUUUCUUUGCUUUUUCCUACUUUCUUAAUGAUUUUGUUACAUAAUGGACUCUCCUUAUUUAAAAUGAUUUGAAUUAUAACUGGUUAAACUAUUUACAUACUCCUAAACAAGUUUAUGAAAGCUUUUGAAAAAAAAAAACAAAUUACUGAAUGAAUUUUUUAUAAGAUUAAAGAGGCAAAAGAAUGGCAAAGGAUAAAACACAAAGAUUCUUUAAAAUUUCACCAAAACGUUGGACUAUUUUAGAAAAUUUUACGAUAUAAAUGUUUUUCUUUGCUAUUUAAUAAAACUUGAAAAUUGCAUCGAGUUUUUUUAUAUAUUUGCAUCAUGUGCAUUAAAAAUAUGAAUUAAGUUAAAAAAGUAAAAACAAUCUAAAGGGAAAAUUUUCAACAAAAUUUUAAAGCUAAGUUUAUUGAAAAUAUUUUUAAAUUUCACCAAAACAUCAAGAGAAUUUAGAAAGUUUUCAAUAAAGAGAAGGAAACCACAAAGCAAGAGAAAAACAAAGAACGUUGUGUUAAACAACAAGCAAGCCGUAUAAAGCUUUGCAUCACGUAUCAGAAUCUUGACGUGCAUAAAAUAAAACACAUGGGGUCGGGGCCACUUGCUCAGUUGUUAUUGUACUACAAAGUUUAAAACGGGAGAGCUUUUCUUUCACGCGUGAACAGUAUACUGAUUGUUCAAAAUAUAAAGAAAGACUUGGCCCAAAGUCUUCAUUGUGUCAGGUCUCCGGUUAAAGUUUGGCCCUCCCUGUUCUGCUUCCAUUUGCUUUCCUCUGUUACACUCUCCCACCAAACUUUUUCAUGACCAUUGACUGUGUGCAGACUGCUUUGUCCAUUAUGACGCGCUCCAUAACUGUCUCAUAAAGACAAGACGGAAUGCCUUUCUUUGACGUGUGCAGACUGCUUUUGUCCAUUUAUAAAGGAAGACUUACCAAAAGUAAGUCUUCAUUUUUACCUUCCCAUUUAUGAUGUAGGCUCCAUAAAUGAAUAGUCUGGAGCGGAAGAUGAGGCGAAAGUGGUCCUUCACAAUUGUCUAUGUAAAUGGUCAUGAUUUAUCGAGGGGAAAUAGGAGGUUUUACAAUAAAACACCGUACUUUGGAAUUAACUUUUGAUUAUACACAGAGAUAAAGUAAAUUAUGGUUUUUACGAGAAAAAUAAAAAAUCAAAAGUCAUGAGUCUUUUUUAAAUCUUGAAAAAGAUAGUUUAUCUUUUAUAAUAAUCCGUUAUAUAUUUUUGGAACAUUAGAAUAAAUAAUGGAGAGAAGUACUUCAACCCCAUUACUUUGUUAGAGUUGUAAAAACAAAAAGAUUGUGGGAAAACCACUUUUAGAUGCAUAGAGUAUAUAUAUUGAGAGGAUGUGAAGUGUAAUUAAGGUAAACUUUUAAAAUUGAUCAAUUACAGAAUCUUUAUCAUUGUGUCUUUCCUUACCAUCUCAAAUUGAUUAUUCACUAAUGGAGAAGGAGAAGGAGGGAGAGAGAAUAGAGAAAAUCAACCAUUUUAGCCAUCCACAUCCAUUGCUGUUCAAUGAUGAAGAGCAGAGUGAUAAAAGUAAAGAAGCUCGCUGCUCCGCAUGUUUGGAAUCCUUAUUGGGCUCAAGUUUUAGCUGUGCAGAAUGUGACUUUCACCUCCAUAAAAAAUGUGCCGAGGCACCUUCAGAAAUUCAUUCCCCUUUCCAUUGUAAGCAAGCUGCUCUUACUCUUAAGUCAAAUCCACCAUGGGAGCCGCCACCCUCUAUUUGUGAUUUAUGCAUAGAGUAUAUAUAGAGUAUAUAAAUUGUGAACUUUUAAAAAUAAAAAUAACAGAUGACAAUAUGUAAGAAAGGGUACUUUAUUUAAUUUUUAUUGUCUGUUUGUGGUGAUAACAAGGUGAUAAAGCUCCUGAUUUAAACAUAAUUAGAGGAAAAACAUAUAAUACAAAAAACUCAUUUCUAAGGUAUAUUUUUUAAAAUAUUUAUCAUAACAUAAUAAAAACGUUACAUGCAUUUAUCAAAAAUAAUUUAAAUACAUAUUUCUCACUUAAUAUAUCAUCAAAUCAAAGCUAAGCCAUUUAGUCAAUCCUUAGCAUUAGACUGAAUCUAGACCAAUUAACCCAAAAGGAAUCGAUAUAUGAUUUUUAUGCACUAGUUUAGCUUCAUAAGCUCAUUGAUACUACUAACUUAAAUACAAUAACAUUAAACAUUAAUCAUUUUACCAUUCCAACUUUAAGAUUUUUUUCACGUAUUCACGUAAUCAAUCAACUUUUGAAUUUCAUAAAUCUUAAAAUUUUAUAUGUCUUAUCUUAAUGAAUUUAAAAAUAAAAAAAAUUAAAAUCUACUCUUAAUAAAAUAACAAAAAGAAAAAAAAUUUAGAUUUAAGAAAAAUAAUCUUGAUUGUAAAACCUUUGAAUAAUCAUAUUUAGAGUUUUAAUUUUUCAUCUUAAUUUAGCUUUGUAAUUGAAAAAACAGCUCAUGAUUUUGACAAGUAACAAGGGACUUGAGAGAAAGAUGAAAAUUGAGGCAGCGUGAAGAAACAAGACUGCAGAAACAAAGUAUCAAAAAUAAAAAAAAUGUACAAUAAUGGAGAAACAAAGGGUUCGGCCAAUAGGCAACAAAAGAAAUAAAAAGUGUGGGCACCAUCCAAUGUGAGAAAAACACAAAAGAAAGGCAAAGCUUUUCAAAGAAGUUUGGGAACAUUUUUUAAAGAAAAGGAAAAGAUUCCUCAAGUGUUUUACUAUUUAUAUGUUAUAUAUUUUAACUAUAAUUUUGAUGGAUCUUGGUACAGAUAAAUGGGAGAAACAAUUUCUUGAGAUUUUUAGAAAUUAAUGUAAGUAAUAUAAUUUUUUAAAUAAUAUUUUUGAUGUAUCAUGUUUGAUAAAAAUUCACUAAAAAAUGAUUAUUUUAUUUUUGAGUUUAAUUUUUUAUUUUUACUUUUAUUUGAAAAUUUGGGUUUUCAAACCUAAUGUUCAAAUUGCUGCCCCAUAGAUCAAUAAUUUUUGCUUCCAACAUCCCAUUUGACCUCACACCUCCUCACGUUGUUAAAGAAGGAAUGGAACCAUAAUAGGCAUACAUCCCAUCAACCCCAGACCAAGGAGGGGACGACAAAAUAUAAAUAUAUCCAAGACAAGUUAAAAGCCAAAGAAAUUAAUUAAAGUGAUUGAUCAUCAACUUGUCAGGUGGUCUAGUUACUAAUAAACUCAUAAAAUCUUGCACCAAGCUUUCUCAUGACCAUUGAAUGUGUGCAGACUGCUUUGUCCAUUUCUAACGUGCUCCAUUAUUGUGUGAUAAAGACAAGACGGAACACCUUUCAGUAACGUGUGCAUUUUUAUAUAUUUUUUAUUUAUUUAAUUUAAAUUUAAAUUUGGUGCAUUUUUAUCAUUAAUUGCAUUUAAUUAAUUAAUUUUUAAACAUAUGAAAUGGAAUUUUAGUAAAGUCGGGUAAGAUCCUUCUAUUGCUUUCAAAGAUAACUAACUUUGUUUACUUUUUUUUAAGUUAUGGAUAAAGAAAUUAUAAAUACGAUCAAUUGUUAUGAAGAUUGGAAAGAGAGCAUAACGAGAAAGAAGGUAAAAAAAAAAUCUUGAUGAUGGGGAGGGGGGCGUUACUAAGCCAAAGGCUUCGCUUUCUUAUUUUUUUUCUAUUACAACCAGAACGCUUUCAUUCCUUGAUAAUUGUGUAUGAUGUUGGGAUAUUCUUAUAAUUUAUAAAGGAAAAUAGGCCUUUUUACAAUAAAUUACUUGACUAUACUAUUAAAAUCAAAAGCAAAGUGUCUUGAUUUAGUUUAAUAAUAUUGGAUCUUGUACACCCACCAUGUGGAUGAAGGAAAAAAAUAAUUUUAAAAAAAUUUAAAAUUUCAUUUAAAAUAAAAAAAUCAUUUAAUACAUCAUAUUAUCAUAUUCAACAUCACGUUAGUAAAUGUUAAACAUUACAUCAACUCAAUCAAGAUACAUGAUAAAUAAGGAUGUGAAGUGUUAAUCAAAGAAUUUGGAAAUAGGAUUGUUUAAGGUGAAUAAUGAAAGAAAUAUUUUUCUUAAAUAAAAGAGAAAGAACACAUGCAAUAGGUAAAAGAAAGAAUAAUGGAGAUAAAAUAGAGAUUUAAAUUUUAUCUCUGAUUAAAGAAAAGAAAAUAGUUAUGGCAAUAAUUGAAGUUUUAUUUAGUAAUUUAAAAAUGUGUUGUGAAGGUUAAUGAAUACAAUUAGUCUUUUUUUUUUUUAAUGUAUCGAAUGAAGUUUUUUUUUGGUAAAAUUGAAAGAUUUUUUAUGGCUAAUAAGUAUCAGGUAUUUCUCACUCCUAUAUACUCCUAAAUAAUUUUAAAAUGUUCUUUCAAAUUAAAAAAUCAAAAUACUCAAAGAAUUCUUCAAAAAACUAAAGAAGUAAAACCAUUCAAGGAUGUUAAGGAUAAAACUUACAGAAUUUUUAAAAGUUUAAGGUGGAGAUUGUUUUUAUUUAUGUCAUUUGAAAUUUCUUUACUUUUUAAGCAUAAAAUCUUUUCAGAUUCUGGAAAUCAAGAAGAAAGGAAUUUCCUAAGUUUUGGAAAGUGGGACUUCAACUCAAAACAUCAACUUGAUAUUAUUGGUCAGGAAAAAGAAAAAAAAGAAAAGGUUUUUUUUUUAAAAAGCAUGCAAGUUGAUUUAUAAGUACAAACAUAAUUGAAUUUGGCAAACCUAGCUAAAAUCGAUUUCGAUAAGAACAUAAACCAGAAGGAAUUCCAAAAUGCUCAGUGAGCUGUUAUGGAUAUCUCAUAACUGGCAGAUCGUGUGAAUGAAAUGAGUCACAUUGUGACAAAGACAAAAAGAAAGGUAAAGAGAGGUGCAAGAAAAGAAAAGAAAAGAAAAAAGGGAAGAAACAGUCAAGUCAAAACAAAAAAAAUUAAAAUCAAAAUGGUAAUCAACACUGCACAAUUGCUCUUUUUUAUUUGUUAAGAUAAUAUAUAAUUCAUUGUCAUUGUCUUGGUGGAUUAUUAAUUAUAAAGAAAGACUUGUCUUUAUCAUUUCAUUAAAAAAAUAAACAAAAAUUAUAAGGAAAGACUCACCCUAAGUUUUCAUUGUUUAAAUAAUACCAAUCAUCGAUUAUAGAGGAGAGAAAAGACAAAUUAAGUAGCUAAAAUGUAGAAAAAACACACGAGAUAGCUUUACUUAAAGCAAUUGCAAUAUCUAAAGUUUCAAUAUAAAAUUAGGUUAAAUUCAUAUUGAUAUCUAAACUUUCUCCUUUAUGUUUGAAGUACAUGUCAUAAACCACUCUAACAAAAUUAAUGGCAAAAACAAUAAUGCAACUUCAUGAUUAUUUAUUUUUAUUUUACUUUUAACUAUUAAUAAUUUAUUUAAAAUAUCAAUAAUUGAUAUUUUAAAUAUUAAUUUUUUUAUUUAUAAUUUAAUAUUAUUAUGAUUAAAUUAUUAAUUAAUUUUAGAUUAAUUUUAAUUAAAAUUAUUAAUUGUUUNNNNNAUUAAUAUUAAUUUUUAAUUUAUAAUAAAUAUUAUUAUGAUUAAAAUAUUAAUUAAUUUUAAAUUAUUUUAAAAAUUAAAAUAUUAAUUGUUUAUCAUAUGUAAUUAAAAUCUUAAACUUUUUAUUUUAAUUUUGUUUACACUUAUAAGAGAUAUUUUAAUCUUAUUAAUUUAGAAGUUAUUCUCUCAAUCAUAAAAUAGUAAAUAUCAUAAAAAAAAUUAAAAUUAGUUAAGUUUUAAUGCUGAGUGAUUUUGAAGAAUAACUACUACGAAAAAAUAGUUAUUCAAUGAGACAUUUACCAACCAAACGAUGAAAAAAGUAACUUAUGGGUGGAAAGUCGAGGGAUGUGGGAAGCCGACACAACACAAGAGAAGGGAAGGAGACAAAAGAGCAAGCGAAAACAAAGAAAGGGCAAACGAUAAUGGCUUUGAUCUUUUCUUUCUUUACCUAGCUGCUAUUAACCAAGCUUUUCAUCAUGGCCAAUAUUGAAUGUGGCCAUCGAUCAUGGGUCACUAAAAGCAAAACUUAAUGAUUGACUGUUGACGUGACUCAAAUAAAACAAAUGGGGUUGGGGACCACUUGCUCAAUUAUUCUACUUUAAAGUUCAAAAGGGGAGAGUUUUUCUUUGACGUGUGAAUACUAUACUGCUUGUUCAAUUAUAAAGAAAGACUUACCACUUUCUUCGUCAACUUGAAUCAUUAAGUUAUUGCCAAUUGAAGUACAACGAAAGACUCACCAUUUAAGUCUUUAUUGUACCUUUCCUUUUUUAAAAUAAUAAUAUAUAAAAUAAGUCCUCAUUAAUUAUUUAUGCAGAUUUUAUUAAACAAGUAAAUAAUAUAUUUGUCCAAAACGAAAGAGAGCAGAUCCAAGCCAAAAACAAAAAUAACGUUUCCCUAUUUGGUGCAGCUGUAACUUUUUUUUUUUAAAUGGAAGAAUUAAUUUGUAAUUGCAGACAGAACAAGACGUGUUAACAACUCUUGAUUUAAUAUUUUUAUAAAAACUUUUUAAUUAUAGGGCAUUGGAUGUGGCCUAUAUAUAGGAAUUUCAGUCUUACAACAAGGAACAGUAAAAAAAACACCCACAAAAUUCAAUGAAUGUCAAAGACGUGUGAAGACCGCUUGCCCAAAUGUAAAGCAAGACUUACCAAAAGUCUUGGUGAUGUGAAGGGGGGUGCUACUAAGCCAGAGGCUUCGCUUUCUUAUCCUUUUCGAUUACAACCAAAACGCUUUUAUUCUUUGAUAGUUGCGUAUGAUGGUAGGAUAUUCUCAUAAUUUAUCUAGAGAAAUAGGCUUUUUUACUAUAAAUUACCUUAUUAUAUUAUUAAAAUCAAAAGCAAUGUGUCUUAAUUUAGUUUAAUAAUUUUGGAUCUUGCACACCCACUCUGUCGAUGAAAGAGAAAAAAUAUAAUAAUUAAAAAAUUAAAAUUUUUAUUUGAAAUAAAAAAUCAUUGAAUAUAUCACAACAUCUUAUUCAAUAUCACGUAGUAAAUAUUAAACAUUACAUCAACCCAAUCAACAUACCUAAUAAAUAAGGAUGUUAAAUGUUAAUUAAGAAAUUUGCAAAUGGGAUUCUUUAAGGUGAAUUAUGAAAGAAAUAUGUUUCUUAAAUAAAAGAGAAAGAACACAUGCAAAAGGUAAAAGAAAGAAUCAUGGAGAUAAAACAAAGAUUUAAAUUUUAUCUCUGAUUAAAGAAAAGAAAAUAGUUAUGGUAAUAAUUGAAGUUUUAUUUAGUAAUUUAAAAAUGUGUUGUGAAGGUUAAUGAAUAGAAUUUUGUUUUUUUUUUAUGUAUAAAAUGAAGUUUUUUUUAUUGGGUAAAAUUGUAAGAUUUUUUAUAAUCAAUAAAUAUCGGGUAUUUUUCACUGCCAUAUACUCCUAAAUAAUUUUAAAAAUGUUCUUUCAAAUUAAAAAAUCAAAAUACUCAAAGAAUUCUUCAAAAAACUAAAGAAGCAAAACCGCUCAAGGAUGUUAAGGAUAAAACUUCAAGAAUUUUUGAAAGUUUAAAGUCUGGAGAUUAUUUUUAUUUAUUUAAUUUGAUUUUUUUUUUUUACUUUUUAAGCAUAAAAUCUUUUCAGAUUCUGGAAAUCAAGAAGAAAAGAAUUUCCUGAGUUUUGGAAAGUGGGACUUCAACUCAAAACAUCUACCCAACCAAACUUCUACUCUCUUCCUUAUCUUCGACUUUAUUCACCUUCUCUACCUCAUCAUUGUAUAAUUAAAUCUAAAAUAGACACAAACUGAACCAAAAAAUAAAAUAGAAAUGGAUGAAUCGAUAAUCAAACUAUAGGGCAAAUGGAAUUUCAGUCUACAAUGAGGUAAAAAAAACAAAAAAAUUCAAUGGAUGGCAAAGAAGACAGUGCAAAAGAAAGCAUCAUAAGGGAGGAAGUUGGAAAUAAAUACUAUAGGAAGUUAAAUUUAACAAAUGAAUUAACAUUUGAGUAAUCAAAUGAAUAAUAAAUAAAUAACGAGUUAUAUAGAUAUAUAGUAAUAAAAUUAAUUAAAUAAAUUUUAAACAAAUUAAAUAAAAUAUUUAAAAUAUGAAAUCUUUCACACUUACUCGUGUCAUAUUUUAUUUUUCGAUGCAAAUCAAGUAAAAUACACGAAGUUUUGGGCCCAAAUGCUCAAUUAUUGUGUGAUAAAGCCGAAAUGGGUGAGCUUUUCUUGGACGUGUAAAGACUGCUUGUCCAAAUGUAAAGGAAGACUUAGAUGUUACUGUAAAAUAGUUGGAAAAAUAUUAGAUACACAACUAGUUUUAUUUUAUUAAAGAUUUGCAUUCGAGCAUUUGGAAGAUUAACAUGUGUUUAUAUUGUAAAAUAAUAGAAUUGAUGUGUAACUGAAGUCUUCGGAUAUGCUUACUAAUUUUUCUUUCUACACUUCAUGUUAUUUAAUUCAUUCCUCUUUGAUUAUCAAAAUACCAUUUGGAGUGAAUAACUCUAAAUCAUAAAUAGCUUUUCACUUUUUUCAUUUUCAAUAUUAAAAUGACUAAUUUUUAAACAAGAUAAUUAGCUUCAUAGAAAGUUUAAACUUAAUACGGACACUUUAGGUUACAUAUAGAAAGUUUAAACUAAAAUCAAGUGUCAUAUUAUCAGCAAAAGGAUGUACUUUCAUUUAAAUAAUUGGAAUGUAACAAAGGUAAGAGAUUUAAUGAUAUCUAUAUGAAACAUUUGCAAUCCUUUCCAAGCUAUUGAAACAGGGGUGUCUUGGCUUAUGGACCUUACAAGCAAUUCAACGUACAAUGGAAGAGGGCAUCUCCACUAUAACACUACAUAGCAACUAAGCCGUGACGAAGGAAAUAGAGUACUGAGGAUUAUAUGGAUGUAGAAGAUCUACUUACCCUCUGAUUUCUUACUCAAUCGAAGAAAAAUGAGCCUAAAGUGUCUUACAAGUAUAAAAAUUUUUUACCUUAUUUUAGCUUGGACAAUCUGUAAUCAUAAGAAACAACAUAUUGAAUUGGUGUAGUGCUAUUAUUUAUAUACGAAUAAUAUAUCAAUUAAUUCUUCAAACACACAUGCAAGUUCAUUUAUAAUUACAAACAUAAUUGAAUUUGGCAAACCUAGCUAAAAUCCAUUUCGAUAAGAACAUAAACCAGCAGGAUUCCAAAAUGUUCAGUGUGAUGCUAUGGAUAUCUCAGAACUGGCAGACAGCGGGAAUGAAAUGAGUCACAUUGUGACAAAGACAAAUGGAAAAAAGCAAUGAAAAAAAGACAAAUUAAGAAAUAAUAUACCAAUAUAAAUUAAGAAAUAGAUUAAUGGAAGAAAGGGAAAAAAAAAAGGAAGAAAAGACAGAGUUAUUGGAUAGUUGCACAACAAUAAUGUGGCACCAACCCCAAAAAAGAAAGAAAAAUUGUCACAAAGAAAGACUUAUAUAUAACUCAUCAAUGUAAUAAAAUUUCAUUUAUCUACAAAGAUGGGCUUGUACCAAGCUCAGAAGGUCACUGAAUAUGAAACAUGCUUCAAAUGCCUAAAGAAUCUAAUUCCUUAAAUCUUAGGUAUUAGGUCCAUGUUGGAAUACCAGCCCAAUGCUAUGCAGAGCCUGCUCCAGUGGAUACAUUACGCCGAAGGCAAACAAACUGAUAUUUGCUUUAAAUUGCCUUUAGUUGUUGUACUGGGAAUUUCAGAGUCAGGCCAUUAAAUGAAUUUCCGGUGCUCUGGAUCGAUGUAAAGUUAAUGAACACCAUCUCUGCCUUGAUUUGAAGUUAAUGAAAACACCAGAAGUUGAAGCAAUUAGAGGAUGAAGAUCAUAGUAUUGUUUCAUUGUUUCUUUUAUUGCAAGCAAUGUGAAAUGCCAAUUGGCAAACUCUUGAAUUAGAAGCCAAACAUGAGUUAGAAGCUCAACACCUCGUCUCAGCUGUUGACAAUGCUAACUCCCUGUUAAUCUGGAAACAAAGAUUACAGUAGUGGUAACUUAAAGGAAAAAUCAUCUUUGAAGAAAGAAGAACAAAGACACGUGAAGCACACACUGUCAUUUAAAGGAAGCACGUGCUUGGUAACUUAGAAGCUUAUUUACCAGUGUUAGUUUUACUCUUACUUUUACCGUAGUAAAUGGUUAGUUAGUUGGCUGUUAGAUGUUAACUACUUGUAGUUUAGUUUUUCCCUCUCUGUUUUGACGGACACUUGUAUAUAAAGGGGCUCUCCGUAUAUUUUUCAUUUUGUAAGAAAUAUCCACAAUGUUGAUAUUUCCUUUGAGAUUCUGCAACUUUUCACAUGACAUCAGAGCGAGUUCGAGAUCGGGAUUCUUGAUUGAUCAACUUCAAAUUUUGUUGAGGGUUACAAUCAAGUCGGAUUCAUUCUAUCUGCAAUCAUAGUAUCUGGUAUUUCUUCAGUCUUUUCCAUUGGGAGAUUUCACUUUUUUUUCUGUAGAUCUUGAUUUGUUGAAAAAGUAUAUUGAGCAUUUGUGUUAUAGUUGCUUUUUUUUUUUUUGGAAUCUUGAUUUGCAAUCUGAGAAUCGUUGUCUAGACAUUGAGGAGUUAGUAUAUUGAUGAUGGCUGAAGAAUCAGAAAGGUUGGGGAACAAUUCUUCAAACCCUAAGUCUAGUAAGUCGCGUCUAGAGGAUGCUGAUUCAUCGUUUUAUGUGCACCACACUGAUAACCAUGGAUCAGUGAUGGUGAAUUCUAAUUGACCUCUAGCAAUUACAUAGUCUGGAGUAGAUCAUUUUUAUUGGCUUUAUCCAUAAGAAAUAAAGUCAGUUUUCUUGAUGGAACCAUCCUGAACCAAGUGUACAGAUCCCUUGUAUAACUCAUGGGUUAGGUGUAACAACUUGAUUGUAGCUUGGAUUUUAGACUCUAUUUCAGCACCAAUUGCCUCGACAGUGUUCUACAUGGACGAUGCUGCUGAAAUAUGGAAUACUCUUCAGUAGAAUUACGCACAACCUGAUGACACACGUGUGUGCAAUUUACAAUAUGCCUUAGGAAAUGUGAACCAAGACACCAGGACUGUUGAUUCAUUUUUCAUAGAAUUAAAGGGCAUUUGGGAAGAGUUAAGGAAUUUUAGACCACUACCACAUUGUGACUAUGGUAAGUGUAAUCCAACAUGUUUUAACAAAUACUCAAACCAAUAUCAGAAGGAUAUGGUUUUUAGGUCUCUAAAUGGACUCAAUGAAUCAUUUCUGCGUUGAGGUCUCAAAUCAUAUCAAUGGAACCAUUACCAAAGUUGGACAAAGCUUACAAUAUAAUUUUAAGGGAAUCUCAAAGGAGUUUGCUGAUUCAAUCAAAUCCAGCAAUUGAAUCAUCAGCUAUGAUGACUGCUGUGGAUAAUAGGAAGAAAACCAAGGCAGAAUUGGUUUGUAAUCACUGUGGUAAGAAAGGGUAUACAAAAAAGAAUUGUUAUAGAUUAAUAUGAUUUCUUGUAUAUUUUAAGUUUACAAAAGGGAAAGGAAAUUUCAGGAAACCAAAAACAUCAGUAAAUAGUGUUUCUGUUGGAAAUAAUGCAUCUGUAAGAAGUUCUUUGGGUAGUGAUCAAGAUGAAUAGGUGGUUGGUACAGAUUCGAUGUCUCAGAUAUCUCUUAUUAAGCAUCAAGUUCAGAAAUUGAUGACUCUUCUUGGUGAGAAUGGUAUAAACAGUGAAGGUCGUAUUGCAAAUUCAUCAAAUACUCAACAAGCAAAACCUUGAGUAAUGUGUUGUGUGUUCCCUCUAUUCACUUCAAUCUUGUGUCUGUCUCCAAACUCACUUCUUGCCAGAAGACUGUAGUCUUGUUCAAUGAUGCACUUUGUGUUAUUCAGGAUAUCCUCUCAUGGAAGGUGAUUGGGAUUGCUAAAGUGACAUCAGGCCUAUACUUCUUACAAGACUAUCAAGAUGAGCAUUACCUUUCAAAAUUUAAUUUUGAUAAGCUUGUACAUUUUUCAUUGCAAUCUUCUAUUAAUGUUUGUAACACAGCACAUGCAAAGUUUGAUUUGUGGCAUUUUAGGUUAGGCCACAUACCUUUGAAUAAAAUAAAUGUCAUUAUGAACAAUGUUCAAAUGUUACAUGUUCAAAAAUUUUGAUUUGUGAUGUAUGUCUUGUUGCAAAAAUGAAAAAGUUGCCUUUUCCUGUUCACAUUAAAAAUACAAGUUAUCCUUUUGAAAUUGUGCAUGCUGAUGUAUGGGAGCCCUAUGCUAUUCCUAACAUCAAGGGUGAACGGUAUUGUGACAUCCUGAACAUUUUUCAACAGAUUCUAUUUCAGCACCAAGUAGUCCUACUAUUGAUGUUGUUCCAUUAACUAGGAAAAGUAAUAGACUUAGACAUACUCCAAAGUAUCUUGAAGCAUAUCACAUGAUUUACCUUCCACCUUUCUUGUCACCAAUUAUCAUCUGCAUAUAAGAUCGUUACUACUAGCCUGUCUUAAAUAUAUGAGCCAAGUACGUAUGAUCAAGCUGUUCACUAUUCUCACUGGAAAGAAACUAUGCAAUGUGAGCAAAAAGCUUUGGAAGAUAAUGCUACAUGGAGUAUUGUGGCUCUACCUUUUGACUCUCAUUCUAUAGGUUGUAAUGAAACAAAUGAUCCUUCACCCUUCAGUCUUUACUAAUUAAUGGUAUUUAACCUUUAUCCGGGGAUAUUAUAAAUGUCCUGGUGCAUGCCUUUACUAAAUUGAAGAAAUCUAGCGGAAGAAUUUUGCCUUUUGUCACAUACUCACAUUUGCUUACAAGAAUCUCGAAAUAAAUAAUCUCUUUUCCUUCUUUUUAAAGGGAGAAGAAACAGGGAGGCUGACCCUCUGUUUUGCUAGCAUUUGGUCUAUUUUUGUUCUAUUUCUUUUUGUAUUUUUUAAGUUUUAUUUUGUUGAGUUCUUCUCUAGCUAGGAUGUUUAUCAGCAAGCCCUCGAGGUCCAAUAUAUAGAAAGUUUAAAUUAAAAUAAAGUGUCAAAUCAUCAGAAAAAGGAUGUACUUUCAUUAAAUGAUUGAAAUGUAAGAAGGGCGAGAGAUUUAAUGAUGUCAAUCCUUCUGAGGUUAUUGAAACAGGGGAGUCUUAGCUGAUGGACCUUACAAACAAAAGAACACAUAUUUGCAUUUUACAAUGCCAUGCGCCUGAAUAUGCAACACCGACAAUUUAAGCUACAUAUGGAAAUUUAUAGCAAAUUUAUAGAAACAACAAAGUGAGAUAACCAUUUGGAUUCGAAGGAAUGUGACUGCCAACUGAGCAGAAUCAUCAUACUUAAGCAAUUCAACUUACAAUGGAAAAGGGCAUCUCCAUUAUAGCUCUACAAAGCAAUUGCACCAUGGUGAAGGAAAUCAAGUAGAGUAAUGAAGAUUAUAUUGAAGUCGAAGAUCUACUUACCCUCUGAAAGUAGUGUCUCACAAGUACAACAAUAUCUUGCCUUAUUCCAACUUGGGCGACUAAAAGGAAACCUUAGUAUCUUCUUCAGAAGUUUGGACACUCUGUAAUCAUAAGGAUUGAAAGGUGGAAGCAAGAAUUGUUGAAUUAGCUAUACAUUCAAAGUCACCAAAACCUAUACUGUACAACCAUUUUCAGUGAACUCGUAACUCGUAACUACGUACUUCUUCCGUGGAUAGGAAGUUAAAAGGCUUUGUUUUCUAUUUCCAGCAAGAUGCUUGCUAUCAUAAUUCAUACAUUUUCAGUGAACUUCUUUCAAGCAGAGAGCCAAAAGCAGAAAAUCUAUUGUUACAAGCAAUGUAACAAUGGCAUGUUUUAAGCACACAACGGAAGCUACACACUCAAGCAAUGUUGAAAUUUAAGUGGAACAUACAUGGCUCUAAAAUGAUGGUGAUAUACAAAGAAGGUUAUGAAAAAGUAACAAGGAAAUUUUUUUGAAUUGAUGCAUACCUUUUCUAUAAACAAAUGCUGAAUAGUGGCAUUAAGGUUUCCUUCCCAACGUCCUACACAUUCACCUUCAGUUGAUUGUAUUCCUUGCAGCUUUGGUGCGCUUAACUCUCCCUUAGAGAAUAUUUCCAUCUUUGGACAUUGUCUCAUGAUUACCUUUUCCAAGGAAGGGAAUCCAAGCAUAUAAUUCCCUGAGCAGAACCUUGAUAGACUAGGAAGACCACCAAAUUCUAAAGACCAUAGUUCGGAGAAAAUAAUGCCAUCCAUCACUUCAUCACUUGAAGAAGCUAUAAUUUCUUCUAACAUUUGGUUAAGAAAUACUCAUUUGGCAAUCUGUAAUACUCAUUUGGUUAAGAAAUACCAUGCUCUUAGCCGUUGGGAGUGUUACUAAAUUCAUAAAUCCAUGACAUCUUGAUACUUUCAGAAUUCUCAAAUUUUUGAAAGACACCGAAAAUGACACUAAAUUCUUUAGUUUGCCACAUCCCAACACUUUCAAAUAUCUCAAGUUGUUGAAAACCACUUCUCCAAGUGGAAUUUCUUCUUUCGAGAGAUGUGUAAGCUCAGGAAGUUCUGAUAGCCUUAAUUCAGUGGCUGUUACUUCAUGUGAUUCAUUGGAAUUGGGUCCAUGAGGUCCAAUUAUUUCUUCUAAUGAAUCACAGUUCACUAUCUCCAGUGUUUCUAGCUUCUCAAGUCUUUCCACCAUGUUAAAUGGAAAAAUAUUUGGAAGUCUUUCACAGUCUUUCACCAUAAGAUAUUGCAGAUUACAAAAUGAAUUCAUAGUGAUGUUAUCAUCCCAUAUUUUCCUCCAUUCCCCCAUGCCUUCCAUAUACAAAUAAUAUAAAUAGGGGAAUGCCACCUGCAGAAUUUAUUUUCUUUGUUAAUGAGGGAAAAUAAACUAUAGUCCGACUAGAUAAGAUACAAGAAAGGGUUGGGAAAGUAACAAUUUCACUAGUAGAACAAACAUAUACAAUUAAUAGAGGAAAGAGAAGUGACCAAAAUAUACAUACAAACAUAAUGGAAGAAAAUAAACACUAUAUUUCAUAAGAAGGAAGUAGUAAGUAAAAAUAUUUUAUUUAUAAUUUUAUCUUAACCUUUUUUUUCUCUAGUUUUCAUCCUUCAUACCAAAUACAAGGAAAACUAAUUAUUUUUUUUUCUUUCCUCAAUUUUUCCCCUUCCCUCCAUUUUGAUUAGGAAGCAAAAUAAGGCAUUUAUGUGCGCAGAGACUAUAAUUAAGUUUUUCAAAUCUUUUUUGCAUCAUUAAGUUUGCUUUUUGUUUUUUUUGGGUUUGGAGCAUAUAAAUUUCCAAUUUAUCCAUUUUUUAAUUAUUUUAUUUUGCAAAUCCUCAUUUUUCUUUUCUGCAAAAGAAGACAUUUUCUUUUCCUAUGUUACAAAGAUAUUUACAUUUACUACACUUUUAUAAUUUGAGCUUUUAAAUUAUUAGUUCUCAACACGUGUCACAUGCGUAAGUACAUAUAUUUAAAACAACUGACUGUAAGAAUAAUCUUAAUGAUGAUAAAGAUAAAUAGAUAAAUUUAUUUUAUAAUGUAAAUUUGCUUAAAUGACAAUGUAAUUUGCCCUUUAUAUUGGAAACAGUAUAUUAUAAAUUUUCCUUUGGAUAUUCAUUAUUUUCAUAUAUAAAUAUGUUUAAAUUCUAAUAUUAUAAACAUAUUUUGACCAAUUUGUUAAGUUAAUUAUUCAUAACCAUAACUUUUAUGUAGCUAUUUGUACAUUAUCAAGUAUAUUUAAGUGGACUAACAGGCUAAGACCAUUAAGAUUAAACAAAAGAGAUCUCCAGAGAAGAAAAAACCAUAUUUGAGUGGUCUUAAAAAAAAAACCACAAUAAAUAUUAAUUUUUCAAAAUAAAUUCUUUUAAAAUUUAUUAAAACGAAAACAAAAUAUACUAACCGUGUUAUCGAAAAAGACAGUAUCAACAAUUCUGUUAGAAAGUCUUGUCGUAUUUCCUCCAUCAAUCAUUUCUAUUCUUUGCUCUCUUGAAAAUGCAGAUGCAAAUGCAAACAUCUGGGGACAACCAACCACCUUAACUACUCCCAAGGAUGGAAAUUCCAGUAUCUUACUUCCUUGAUAGAAACUUGCCAAGUCCGCACAAGAUUCAAGACUUAGAAACCGUAAUAGCGGGAGCACAUUCUUAUUUGCCACUUGUUCAUCUGGUCCUUCAUCUGUGAUGAUAUGUUCCAUCACAAUGCAAUUUUUUACUAUCAGCGUAUGAAGUUGUGGUAGGCCCAAAGCCAUGGAAAGUGUAAAAAGGCACCUCAGGGUGCUACAAUCAUCGACUUCUAAAACUUCAAGACGUUUGAAGGGUAAAAUUCUUUGAGGAUUUUGUAUCUUCGUGAACUCAGAAGUAUCAGAGAGUCUCAAAUGGUGAUAUUCAACCUAUGGAAUCCAAUGAAUUGGACUAGUUAGUACAAUAAUAAUUAAAAUUGUUAAAACCUAAAACAAUACUCUUUAUUUAAAAAAAGAAAACUGAUAUAAUUAAUAGGUUCAAACUAAAUUAGAACCAAUUUUAGUUCUUUAUAGAUAUGUAAUUAAUUUGCAUUUAAAAUAGUACAAAAAAAAAAGACAACAGAGGAAAGACUAGAUGCUUUACUAUUUUAAAUAGUAUAAUUACAUAACAUUCUUCAAACAGCCGUUUGAAGAAAAAAUUUUAAAUUGAUGCUUUACUAUUUUAUACAUUUUGUAAUCAUAAGGAAUAUCGUAUUGAAAGAGAAAAACAAGAAUUUUUGAAUUAGCUACGCAUUGAAGCCCCAAAACUACACUUUUAUAGUAAAUUUCUUUAUUAAUAGCUAGAAGCUCUAUGCUAAAUUAAUAAACUAAUUCUGCAACAAUUCUACAUUAAAUAUUAGUAAAUUUCACAGUCUUUUACCGUAAGGUAUCGCAGAUUACAAAAUGAAUUCAUAGUGACCUUAUCAUCCCAUAUUUUCCUCAAUUCCCUCGUGCCUUCAAUAUGCAAAUAAUAUAAACGAGGGAAUGCCACCUGUAGAAUUUAUUUUCUUUGUUAAUGAGGGAAAAUAAAUUGUAGUCCUACAAGAUAAGAUACAAGAAAGGGUUGGGAAAGUAACAAUUUCAAUAUUAGAAUAAAUGUAUACAACUAAUAGAGGGAAAAAAAAGCAAAAAAAUAUUAAUACAAACAUAAUGAAAAAUGUUACCUUCUAUUCAUUUUAUUUUUCUUUCCUCGCUUUUUCCCCUUCCCCCUUUUUGAUUAGGAAGCAAAAUAAGUCUCUGCGCAGAGACUACAAUCAAGUUUUUCAAAUCUUUUUUGUAUUAUUAAGUUUGCUUUUUUGUUUUUUUUGAAUUGGGAGCAUAUGAAUAUCGAAUGUAUCCAUUUUUUAAUUAUUUUAUUUUACAAAUCCUCAUUUUUCUUUUCUACAAAAGAAGACAUUUUCUUUUCUUAUGUUACAAAGACAUUUACAUUUUCUACACUUUUUGCUUUUCUUAUGAUUUGAACUUUUGAAUUAUUAGUUCUCAACACGUGUCGCAUGUAUAAGUACAUAUAUUUAAAAAAAAUUGACUUUAAGAAUAAUCUUAAUAAUGAUGAUAAAUAGAGGAAUUUACUUUAAUUAUAAUGUAAAUUUGCUUAAAUGACAAUGCAAUUUGUCCUUUAAAUUUGGAAACAGUUUAUUUUGAAUUUUCCUAUAGAUAUUAAAUAUUUGCAUAUAUAAAUAUGUCUAAGUUUUCAUAUUAAACAAAAAUAUUUUGACCAAUUUGUUAAUUUACAUGUUCAUAACCAUAGAUUUUAUGUAGCUAUUUUGCACAUUAUCAAGUAUAUUUGAGUGGACUAAAAGCCUAGGACCAUUAAGAUUAAACAAAAGAGAACUCUAGAAAAGGAAAAACCAUAUAUUUGAGUGGCCUUAACAAAAUAAUUUUUAAAAAAUAACCACCAUAAAAAUUAAUUUCUCAAAAUAAAAUCCUUUUAAAAUUUAUUAAAAUAAAAUAGAAACAAAAUAUACUAACUGUGUUAUCGAAAAAGGCAAUAUCAACAAUUCCCUUGGAAAGCUUUUUCAAGGAGAAUUCAUAGUUGCUUCUAUGACAGAAUCUCGUGAGAUUGGGAAGGUCUCGGAGCUCCAAAAGUUCUAGUUUAGGAAAAACUUGGCCCAUCAUAUCUUCUUCUAUAUCCUCUGUGACUAUUAUCUCUUUUAAGCACUUGCAUCCAUUUAUUUCAAAGCUUUUGAGAUGUGUUAGACUUCUACACAUAGAAAAUGAUAGUAUGUGUUUUAAAUUGUGACAAUCCUCAAUGGCCAAACUUGUCAAAUUCUGAAGGUAGUUACAAAAGAUUGAAGAUUGGUUGGGCCAUAUCCUUUCAACAUUGAGUGAGUCCAAUCGUAGCUUCUCCAAGCAAGGGAACUUUAUCUACACAAAUGUAAUUCUUAUACAUUAAAAAUUAUUAAAAAACAUAAAAAAUUCAAAUUUCAAUAUAAUAAUUACAUAACAUUCAUGCUAUAUAUAAAAAAGAGUGAUGUUUUUUUUAUAGCAUAAAUGCAAUAAGAAAAGGAGAGUAUAGUCACCUUUUCAUUGAAGAGAUGAAGGAAAUUGAUCUCUGAGUUCUUUUCUUCUGCUUUUUGGAUAAUAUGAAUUUCAUUUGCCAUGGUAGAUUUGGAGAUAAAUGUCUUGAAUGCAGGACAAUCCCCUAUAAUAAGCUCUUUCAACAAGGGGAGUUCAAAGUUACUUCCAUGGCACAAUCUUGUGAGAUUGGGAAGGUCUCGGAGCUUCAAAAGUUCUAGUUUAGGGAAAACCCGGCCCAUCAUAUCUUCUUCUAUAUCUUCUGUGACUAUUAUCUCCUUUAAACAAUUGCAUCCAUUUAUUUCAAAACUUUUGAGAUGUACUAGACUUCGGCACACAGAAAAUGAUAGUAUGUGUUUUAAAUUGUGACAACCCCCAAUGGUCAAACUUGUCAAAUUUUGGAGGUAGUUAGAAAUGAUUGAAGAUUGGUUGGGCCAUAUCCUUUCAACAUUGAGUAAUUCCAAUUCCAACUUCUCCAAGCAAGGGAACUUCAUCUACACAAAUGUAAUUUUCAUACAUUAAAAAUUAUUACAAAACACAAAAAAAUUCAAGUUUCGAUAUAACAAUUACAUAAUAUUUAUGCUUUAUAUAAAAAAAAUGAAUGAUGUUUGUGAAUGCAGUGAUAGUGCAGUUAAGGAGAAAUUACUUCCCAUUCUAAUGACGAAAUGAUUUGGAAUAAAUUUUAAAAAAGACAGUUGAAAAAAAAUAUCAAUUUUUAAGUCAUAAUCUUAAAAAAAAAUAAAACACUACCAAAGGGUGAAAAACCAAUGACAUAAUCAUUAAUGAGUCAAGGAACCUAAGAGGAAUGACAGGAAUUUAUCUUAUACGUGUUCUAACAUUUGAAUGAACAAAAGAUAAAGAAAUACCUCUUCACCGAAAAGUGCCAAGUCAUGUUGAGGUGUGGAAGUAGAGCCCCCUGGACUGUUUUUAGAGCAGAAGCUAAUGAGCUGUGGUAAAUCUGCAAGGAUCAACUGUUGUAAUUGCUGAAAUUCAAUUUUAUCAAUUGCAUCGUCAUCUUUCAUGAUAUAUUGUAUCUCCGAACAAAGUCGGAUGUGAAUGUGCUUUAAAUGCAAAAGACCUUCCCUAUUGCCCACCUCGCUGAAAACAAUCUUGGCACCUUUUAGACCUUCCAGAUAAAAAGCUGUUGAUUUCAUCAAUAAACAUUGCACCCUAUCAUCCAGUUGAUUGAUGUUUGUAUUUAGCUUGAGUUUUAGCGCUCUCGAGAAUUCAAUCUCGCCAUGCCAGUAAGAAAGACUUCCAAUGAAAAUCCUUUAUCUUUUCAAUUUUUCAGCGAACAGGCUGAAAAGGUCAUAUGGCACAAUCUUGACAUCAGGAAUACCAGCAUUUAAAGUGGUCAAACAAGGCAAAUCCCUCAAUUCAUCAAGACGAGCAUUGCUUCCUUCGUUCCAACCAUCAAAACUCCUACCCAUAUAUAAUUCUUCUAAUUUGGACAAAUUUGAUAAAACACCUGCUGGAAUUUUAAGAUCGUAACAAUCGCUCAGAUCUAAUAAUCUUAGCUCAGUCAAUUGUCCUGUUUCCUCAGGUAGCAUUUCAAUAUCAGAACCGAAAAGGUUAAGAAUUUCUAGAUUCUUGAGUUUUUCAAGAUUGACCAUGUCUCCCAGCACACAUUGAUUUAGGCACAAUGUUCGAAGACUCGUCGGGAGACUAAUUGGGGAAAAUUUGAUUUAAUAAAAUCUAAGACUUUGAGAUUUUUCAUUUUCUCAAAAAAGUAAGCUGGCAUUUCCACAUCAGAAUCCUUGCUACCCAUACAGAAAAAAUCAAGUUGUGGACAUUCCAACUCAUGAGGAAGCUUCUCAACACUAUCAAAACUCAAACUAAUCAUUUUGAACUUUGUCAUCCUCUCUUCAUCAGGCCAUUCGUCAAAAACACCCUUACGUUUCAAUGCAAAUGCAUGGUUGUCCCUAGAGGCAAUUGCUAAGGCCACAUCACAAUCGAAGUCAUGCAUAUCGAAGCGCUCAUCGCUGUAACUAUCGCGCAACAAACAAAAGGCUUUGAGGUCACUUACCAGAGUCAACACUCUGUUUCGCGUGUCUUCUACUGUGUUGGCAGUAUCAAAUAAACGUAAACCCAUGCCAUAUCUCACCAAGUCUUCAACGCGAGCAUUAUGGCCUAGAAGACCGCAAGACAAGAAAGUCCUUUUGUGUUCCUCGCUGACUAAAGAAUUGUAACUCAGCUCUAUGGCUGAGUAUACAGCUGCUGGUAUCCUUGUGAAGUUGCUUGGAGAAGGCCUCUGAAGUUGCGCGAGAGCAUCCUUCCAUGCAUAUAACUCUUUGCUUCUCAAAGCUCUUGCGACUGUCACAAUGGCGACGGGUAAUCCUUCACACUUUUUGGCUACCUCUGUUGCUACAGGUUGUAACUCAAGAUCUUCAAAAUUGUUCUCAGCCAUCUCCUUAAACAGGUUCCAAGCUUCUGUUUCAUUCAAAACAUCGAUUGCAAAAGGAUUCUUAACAGCCAUCUCAUUGGUUAGAACAUAUCGAUUUCUUGACGUCAACAGUAUCUUGCAUUCCUCGAGUUGAUCUCCAAAAGGAAUUCCGACUUGCUCUAGAUCUAGUCUCGCCCAAACAUCAUCUAAAACAACUAGAAUCUUCUUCUCCUUCUUCAACCUAUCCGACAACGAACGUGCUCUAGCCGGUAUAGUUUUUUCUUCUAAUUUUAAUCGCAAUGAUUCUGCAAUUGCAUUGACAUUUUUCUCAAUGUCAAAAAUCUCGUUUCUUGAAUCAAAAUCCCUAAAAUUUUUAGAUGGUGCACCCCCCGGGGCUGGUGGAACACGACAGUAUCCCACUUUGUUAAAUUGACUAUGUUUGAGAAGGUCGUCAACAGUCGUGCCAGCUUGUUCUGCUUUCUUGCUAAGCUGGUACCGAGACUUGAUAUUGGGACACCAAGUCAAAGAAGCACUUGUUCUUUGCUUUGUCUUCAAGAUCCUUCACUUUCUUCUUCUCUUCAUUGAUUGCCUCGUCCACUUUAUCGCACCAUUGCUGGACGUCCGGUUUUAUCUCCUUCACGUUCCUUUUUGCAGCAUCAACCUCUAGAUGCACACUUUCUCUUUUUGUUAUCAAUGACUUCAUUUUCUCCUCGAACUUAUCAACAUUUUUCUUGUAGACGAAUACAUAUCUCAUAUGACGUUUAAUUUCUUGAAAGAUGCCUCUCGCAGCCUCCGAACAAACAUUGGCAAUGGCGCCAAUAGCACAACCUUCCAUGCUUUUUAUUCAACAGACAAGUAAAGCAAAUCACAGAAGAACAGAGACAAAAGGUAGCAGACCAAAAAUAAAAACAGCGAGAAGAAUAUAUCAGAAAACGAUGUGAGCAAGGAAAAUAAUCAGAAUGGUGAGAAAUUGGAAAUGGCGGCUUUCUCCAUUAGUUAUAGCUAUGAACAAAGAGGCAACUAAGAAUCAAAGUGAAAGGUUCUGGUUUUUUGGGUGGAAAGUAGAGGGAUGUGAGAAGCCGACGCUUUGAGGUGGAGAACAAGAGAAGAGAAGGAAACAACAGAGCAAGCGAAAAACAAAGAAAGGAAGAAAGAUAACAGUCAUGAGUUGAGCAGAAAAGUUGUAUUAAACAACAGAGGAAGCGAAAAAACAGGAAAGGAAGAACGAUAAUAGUGAUGAGUUGGGCAGAAACGUUUUAAACAACAGAGCAAGCUUAAUAGAUAUGUAAUUAAUUUGCAUUUAAAAUAGUACAAAAAAAAAGACAACAGAGGAAAGACUAGAUGCUUUACUAUUUUAAAUAGUAUAAUUACAUAACAUUCUUCAAACAGCCGUUUGAAGAAAAAAUUUUAAAUUGAUGCUUUACUAUUGUAUACAUUUUGUAAUCAUAAGGAAUAUCGUAUUGAAAGAGAAAAACAAGAAUUUUUGAAUUAGCUAUGCAUUGAAGCCCCAAAACUACACUUUUAUAGUAAAUUUCUUUAUUAAUAGCUAGAAGCUCUAUGCUAAAUUAAUAAACUAAUUCUGUAACAAUUCUACAUUAAAUAUUAGUAAAUUUCAUAAGGAACAACAUAUUGAAAGGUGAAAGCAUGAAUUGUUAAAUUAGCUAUACAUUCAAAGUCACCAAAAACUAUACCGUACAACCAUUUUCAGUGAACUCAUAACUCAUAACUACAUACUUCUUCCAUGGAUAGGAAGCUAAAGGCUUAGUUUUAUAUUUCCAGCAAGAUGCUUGCUGUCAUAAUUCAUACAUUUUCAGCGAAAUUCUUUCAAGCAAAGAGCAAAAUGCAGAAAAAAUCUGUUGUUACAAGCAAUGUAACAAUGGCAUGUUUUAAGCAUACUACGGAAGCCACACACUCAAGCAAUGUUGAAAUUCAGUUGGAACACACAAGGCUCUAAACUAAUGAUGCUAUACAAAGAAGAUUAUGAAAAAGUAGUAAGGAAAUUUUAUUGAAUUGAUGCAUACCUUUUUUUUAAACAAUUGCUGAAUAGUGGCAUUAAGGUUUCCUUCCCAAAGUCCUACAUAUUCACCUUCAGUCAAUCGUAUUCCGUGCAGCUUUGGUGUGCUUAUCUCUCCCUUUGAGAAUAUUUCCAUCUUUGGACAUUGUCUCAUGAUUACCUUUUUCAAGGAAGGGAAUCCAAGCGUAUAAUUCCCUGAGCAGAACCUUGAUACGCUCGGAAGACCACCAAGUUCUAAAGACCUCAGUUUAGAAAAUAUAAUGCCAUCCAUCACUUCAUCACUUGUAGAAGCUAUGAUUUCUUCUAACGUUUGGCAAUCUGUAACACUCAUUUGGUUAAGCAAUACCAUACUUUUAGCCACUGGGAAUGUUAAUAAAUUCAUUAAUCCAUGACAUUUUGAUACUUUCAGGGACAUCAAAUUUUUGAAAGAUGUCGAAGGUGGCACUAAAUUCUUUAGUUUACCACAUCCCGACACUUCUAAAUGUCUUAAGUUGUUGAAAACUACUCCAAGUGGAAUUUCUUCUUUGGAGAGAUGUGUGAGCUCAGGAAGUUCUGACAGCCUUAAUUCAGUGGCUGUUACUGCAUGUGAUUCAUUGGAAUUGAGUCAUUGAGGUCCAAUUAUUUCUUCUAAUGAAUCACAGUUCACUAUCUCCAAUUCAUAUAGUUCCUGAAGUCUUUCCAUCAUGUUAAAUGGAAAAAUAUUUGAAAGUCUUUCACAGUCUUUCACCGUAAGGUAUCGCAGCUUACAAAAUGAAUUCAUAGCGACCUUAUCAUCCCAUAUUUUCCUCAAUUGCCCCAGGCCUUCGAUACGCAAAAAAUCUAAACGAGGGAAUGCCACCUGUAGAAUUUAUUUUCUUUGUUAAUGAGGGAAAAUAAAUUGCAGUCCUACAAGAUAAGAUACAAGAAAG
rnacentral:lncRNA from 1 species